UCCUAGCUUCCGUAUCUCAAGACUCCCUCCAAUGUGAUUUAAGUCUUUUAAAUCUCUUAGAUUAGCUGCUUUACUUUCAUUCUCACCACCACCACACACACUAAACACAUCUAAUGUUUGAAGACAUGUUACCCUCUCUAUUCCCUUUGGUAUGAAGGCCACUCUUGAACCAUAAAUCCGGAGAUGCCUCAAUUUGAUAAGUUUUCCAAUCGCCUUGGGCAAUUCCUUGAGAGACCAACACCAAAUAACGUCUAGGGAUUGUAGAUUGCAUAAAUCACACAUGGUUUCUGGCAGGGACUCCAACUCUCCACAGGCUACCAAAUUGAGGUGUCUCAAAUGUAUCAAUUUCCCUAACUCCUUUGGUAUUUCUUUGAUUGAAGACCUUGACAAAUUCAAUGACCUGAUGCAUGUCAACUGUUUGAACAAAUCAGGCAGUGCAGCUCCAAGCGAAGGGUCUCUAGUGUCGAUCAAGAGGCUGCGAAGACCUUUUGCUUUGUGAAUGGACACGGGAAAAGAGGUCUCGUUGGGCAGCAUCAUGCUUAAAUGACGAACCCUUUCAAUUGAAGUCUCCAUUGUUGCUUCUCCAAGUUUACUGGCAUCCACUGUUAGACAUUCAUUUUUUGUCAUAUAUUGGGCAAAAUCAUGCACUAUAUCAUGCAUCUUGAAUCUAAUAUCUUCUCGACCAUACGUCUUAAAAUCUUGGAAGAAAGAGCGCGCUGCUAAGACUUGAAAGUACUGCUCUCCAAUAGCCUCCAUAUCUCCACCUGAAGUCUCCUUGAGGUAACCUUGAGCUAUCCACAUCUUCACCAAAUCAUAUUUGCGCAUCUCGUAGUCUUUUGGAAACAUGGCACAAUACAAGAAACAUCGUCUUACCACAGAAGGUAAAUCGUAGUAACUCAAAAGCAAAGAUAGAAAUAUUCCUCUUUCAACCUGAUCUCUAUCAACCUCAUCUAGCCCCCACAGUUCGCUAUAUAAAACACGCUCCCACUCUUCUCUUGUUCUUUUAAACUGCAUUAGACCUCCUAAUACCUUGGCAGCUAGCGGCAAGCCCUUGCACUUGUUAGCAAUUUUAUCACCGAUAUCUGUCAAUCUUUCACGCUCAUCUUUGCUUCUUUCCUGGAAUGCCACAUGAUUGAAUAUUGACAUGCAUAUCUCAUCAGACAAUUUCUCAACAUUGAUCUGGUGGUCAGUUCCCAUAAUCGUUGCCACAGUGCCCUUACGAGUGGUCACUAGAAUUCUGCUUCCUCGUGCACAGCCUGUGAAAGAUGGUUUCAGUUGUUCCCAUUGCCUAUGAUUGUCUGUCCAUACAUCAUCAAGGACAAGAAGCAACCUCUUUCCCUUAAUGGAUUCAGAAACCAUUUGCAAAAGGGAUUGCAAUUCAAUCAAAUUCGGUUCACUCCCUUGAAGCUGCUCAAGGAUAGCUUUUGCUAUUCUAACCUCAUCAAAUGGUUCUGAAACACAUACCCAUAUCUUUUUCUCAAAAUGAGCCGUUACCUCAGCAUCCUUAAAAGCUAGUUGGGCGAGAGUUGUUUUUCCAAUUCCGCCCAGCCCUACUAGAGUGAUGACAUCAACGUCCCGUGCUUCCUGACUACUUUCACCCACCAACUUGCUUACAAUAGUUUUCUUUUCAACAUCUCGACCAAUCACGCUUGAUUCAUCAACAAAGGAGGUACUUGUUAGUCGUUGUAGUUCAUCAGUGGCUCUGUACAGAUCAAAGCCAUACAUAACUCUCUCUUUGGCAAUGUCAUCCACUUUUUCACAUACUUCUUUGAUCUUAAAGGCAAUGUCGCGACGUCGAACCACUUGAUUGAGACAAAAGCGAGGAGAUCUCAGGAAGGAACAUCGUAUCUUCUGUAGGCUGCGAGUAUUUUCUUCAGCUUCCUCCAUUUUCCAUCUAAGAAUUGCAGUGCUCCAUUCAUCUAGCACGUCAUCCAUAUCAUAACAUGCAUCUUUGAGCUUGUCUACCCAAUCUCUUACAGCCUUAUCCUUCACUUGUUUUCUAUCUGCAUCUUCAAGGACAGAUUGGAUAGCAAGGAGAUUGCUUUUCAGCUUGUCACAUUGUUUCUUCACACCCACUACUAGGUUCACCUCUUCUUGUACCUAUUAGUGUACAAAGGAAAAGAAACGCUAAGCAUGGGAAACAUUUCUGUGAUUUCAAGACAAUUUCACACCCCCUACUAGGUUUACCUCUUCCAAUACCUAUUAUUGUAGAACAGACAAGGAAGUUCAAGCAUAGGAAACAUUUCUAUUUUGUAUUAAUAUAUUUUAUUGUGAAAUGGAUUUACUAUAUUAAUAUUUUAUAUAUAAUUAAUAUAGGCAUGAAAAGAGUUCAAUAUUCUCACGAGAGAAGUAAUAUUUCUCCUUUGAACCGACAUAAAAUCUGGUUUUCAUUUUACAUUAAACUAUAGAUAUAUGGAUGUAUAAAGGCAAGUGAAUAAAAGGAUCUGCAUGUAUAUAUUUGUGAAGUCAAUUUAGAAAUAAAGGCAUGAUAAUAAGAUUGUGUGAUAACUAUAUAGUUUUAAUUCACACCAAAUACUCACUCGCUAAUCCUUUGAACUUUUUAUUGAUUAUUUUACCUUUAAUAGUUCAGUUUAAAGAGAAUUGGCAACUCUUGUUUUGUCUUUUUUGGUUUUCUUAUAUUUGGAAUGAUAUAUUUUCUUUAUGUUAUUUUUAGAAAUAUAAAAAAUAAUAAAACUAGAAAAAGAAGUCUUUAAUAAAAUCGAAAUAUAUACUUGAGGAUUUAAAAUAUUAUUUUUAUUUUUUCAAGUUAAAAGUAUUCAUUUUAUGAGAGGAAGAUAAAAGGCUUGAACUUUAUAUAUAUUUCUUAUCUUUGCCAGGUAAAUCAGGUUAUUGCAGAUGGCAGAAAAAUACCUGUUGAGCAACGAUCGUGGUUAAGUGCUCCAAGAUCGGAGAUAGAAGUGCCUCAGCCAUCGUCUGUUUAGUUCUGAUUGGAGAGAGAGAAGCAGUGAUGAUAGGAAGACAGAGAGAAAGAGAGGGUGAAGGGAAGGAGGCGGCUGAUUGUGAAUGGAAGUUAGUUUAUAUACUUAGGGUUUGGCGUUGCAGGUGAAGCUUUUGUAUUUUAGUGUCUCCACAUUUUCUUAUUAGUAUUUGUAGGGACAGGGUAAAGGGAGAUCAGCGCACCUUGUAAUUUUAGCUGGCAGUAAACCUGAAGCAUAGUUUUAAAACCCGGACCGGCCCGGCGGGUCGAUCUGGGACCGGUUCGGGUGAAGGCCAAAACCCGUUUGGAAAUUGACCCGGCUAGACCGGGGACCUGGUUGACCCGGCAAGACCCGGUCUCAAACCCGUUGACUUUUAUUUUUUUUUGUUUUUUUUUUUUUGCUAAAACGACGUCGUUUUGAUUUUUUUUAAAAAAAAUAAAAAAUAAAUUUUGACCCGGCCGACCCGGUCAAGACCCGAUGACCAGGUCAAAACCAGGAACCCGGGCCUUGGACCGGGCCGACCACCGAGCCGGAUCUUAAAACUAUAACCAGAAGUAAUGAGAAAAUAAUUUUAGCCAGCCGGCCCAAUCUAUUUUAGGCUAAUAGUGUGUUAGGCAAAACACAUAUAAGCCUUAUCCCUUUAUUUUAUUAUUUUUUAUUUUAAUAUUUAGCUAAAUAAUUUUUUUUGAAAAUCAAAAAUCAUUAUGAAUGUUUUUGAAUUUAUUUAUGGGUUUCUUUUUUUAUUAUUAUUCAUUGUAUAUUUGUAUAUUUGAUUUUGUGGAUUUUUAUGGUGGAAUGUAAAUAUAGUAUACGAUACAUUUGUUUCUCUUAAAAAAAUAUGUAUGUUUUAAUUUAAAUUCAUUUUAUUCAUUAAUCUAACAACUAUGUAAGUUUCUAGUGACCUUAAGAUUUGUGAGACUGGAACUAGUAAUUUGAGGUUCAACAUCCCAGGUCGAGAAUUAGGUCUUAAUAUGGAAGGGUUAAUCUAGGUUAACCUAAUUUUUUUAAUAAAAAAAUUAAAAUAAUAUCGUUUUGACCGAAUUUUUUUUUUCCAAAAACAAAACUACCAAUAUUUAAACAAGUUUUACUUGAGUCUAUCGGGAUAUUUUAACCAGGUCAAACCAUAUUAAUUCUUUUCUUUAUUAUAUUUUUUUGAAGUUCUUACCUUUAUUACCAAAAAAAUCCCCUUAAUUUCAGAGUCCUUACAUCUCUAAUUAAUUAUAAUUACCUUACCAGUCAUAAUGUUCUUUUCUGUACCUGAUGAAUGAUAUUAUUUCUGAGAUUUUUGAACAUGUAAUGACGGAAGCCUGCGCUGGGCUGGUUCCCUUUGUUACGUUGCUGGAGUCGCAAUGUUUCGAGGUAUCAGACCAAAUUAAUUCUCUUGCUUUUUGCAGCAAAGCUGUAUCUCUUGCUACUUGCUAGAAGCGUAAUCUCAGGAUACCACUGUUUUGGUGUUGCCUCUCUCACCAUUGUUAUUAGGUUGAAUUAAAUACCAGAAGAUUUCUGAGUAUGCAAUGACUGUAUGAUUUAACUAACCAAUACACUAUCAAGGGUGUGGCGUAUGAACUUCAUGCGCCGGCGUGUGUCACCACCGUUCCACCGUGUGCCGUUGCGGCCUCCCCAUUGAAGGUCCAAUUUUCAAGCUCACAAGCAUGACAUCUUUAAACCUUACUUGAGGUUCAACAUCCUAGGUCAAGAAUUAAGUCUAGCAUGAAAGGUUAAUCCAAGUUAAUUUAAUUUUUUUUUAAAAAAAAAAUUAAAAUAACAUAGUUUUGAUUGAUAUUGAUUUUUUCAAAAAAAAAAAAUCCAACAAUAAUUAUAUUUUAACCAGGUCAAUUCAUAUUAAUUCUUUUCUUUAUUAUAUUUUUUGAAGUUCUUACCUUAAUUACCAAAAAAUAUCCACUUAAUUUUGAGAUAUAUUCAAUUUGGUUUUGUAAACAGUACCUUAACAUAUUUUGAUUGAAAUUGAUUUUUUUUUUAAAAAAACCCAACAAUAUUUAAAUAAGUUUUACUCGGGUCUACCAAGAUGUUUUAACCAGGUCAAGGCAUAUUAAUUCAUUUUUUAAAUUAAGUUCUUACCUUAAUUACCAAAAAAAAAAUCAGCUUAAUUUUGAGAUAAAUUAAAUUUGGUCCUAUAAACAGUACAUUUUAUUUAGUUGAUCCAUCGAAUAUCUGGUGCUAUUCAAUUCAAUUUAACCAAACUUUUAUUUGGUUGAGAAGAAUUUGACAAUCAGAAUCCUGUAAUAUUGAUGAUGGCUCUUGAACUGGAAACCAUGUUUAUAUCGCAGAUAUAUUCUUGGACACCAUUCAUAUAAAGGUGAACAAUUAAGCACUCUCAAAAACCAAAUCAUAGGGAAGAGCUCAUCAACUCGAGCGCCACCAGAGAUUUACAUUUGCAUGUGAGUUGGGAUGCAAGAAUCAAUGAUUCUUAUGAGGCUGAUCACACAAUUCUAUGUGAAUUUGGGUGCGCAAUACUUUUAAGGAGAGAACUCAUCCUAGUCCAAGCACAUUAAACUUCGGAAUUCUUAUGGCAUAAGGUGUACGAUACUAAAUACACAAGUCCUAGUUAAUAUCCUCUACCAUGCAAUGCAGUGGUUCAGUCGCACCAUUUCAAAUUGUUAUUAUGUCUAUAAUCUAUGUUCAGGUACUGCAAUCUAUCUUGAAUUCAUGGUCUUCACUUAAUAACAAGUUUGGUCUGGAGAAUCCUUUAACUUGAAAGGGGACUUGUCUUUUACUUGUAGAAAUGCCAACAUUAAAUUGUUAAUAUUAAAUUUUUUUCUAUUUAGUUAUUAAACUUUCAUGACACGGAUUCCGGGUUUGACAGGUUAACCUGGUUUGACGAGUUAACCCAGUUAAUUCUGGGCUAACCCAUUAAUUUGUUUUUUCCUUUUUAAUUAUCAAACUUUCACGAUGUGAAUUCAAGGUAUGAUGGGUUAAUCUGGUUUGAAAGGUUAACCCAAUUAAUUCAUAUUUUUUUUCUUUUUUUUCAUUAGUUUUUUUUUUCUGUUGGUUUUUUUCUUUGUUUUUUUCUUUUUAACUAAUCUAUUUAAUUAUCACACUUUUAUGACACGACCUUGCAGCCAGAUCUACGUCCAAUGCUAUUGGGUAUAGUAUUGUAGUGCAUACACUUUUAUGCUAAGAGUUAACCCAAGUUUAAUGUUAUUAUUAAUAUUAUAAAUAUUACUCUUGGAUCAGGCGUUGCAACUAAAUCUAAAAUUCUUGGAUAUAACUUUGUAAAAAAACCUAAUAUUUUUAGAUCUUGGCUUUUUUUUAAAUGUAAAAAAUAAUUAACCUAUGGCAUCGCGCGGGGCAUGUAACUAGUAAUUUCUAAAAGGAAACUCAUCCUAAACUUCGGAAUUCUUAUGAAUUAAGUGUACCAGGCUAAAUAUCCUCUACCAUGUAAAGUAGUGAUUCGGUCGCUCCAUUUCAAAGUAUUUUUAUGUCUAGAAUUUAUAUGUUUUGGUAACUUUUUUUUUUUUCUGGGUGUUCAUGGUCUUCACUUAAUAAAAGGUUUGGUCUGGAGAGUCCUUGAACUUAAAAGGGGCUGUGAUGGCAUUUGGAAGGCACACGUACUGGGGGACUUGUCUUUUACUUGCAGAGAUCAUAUCCAUUGGUGAACAUUUUUCGCGUUAGGUUUGGAUAACUUUAUUAUGAUUUAAUCCACUAAAUCAAUGUGUAUCAUGUUUAAAAAAGAAAAAAGAAAAAACAGAGAGAGAGAGACGAUGUGAGAAUAAAUGGGAAGUAGGAAAUAAAAUCCAAGUCAACAAUAGAUUACAAAUGAUUACAAUCCAAUUACGGUAAGGAGGUGUAUGAAACAAACGGUGCUUAAUACAACACUGAAUGAAAUCCUCCAUUUGAUUAUACCAGAAUGCCCUUCGAUUUGAUUCCAAAAAUAUGAAGGGAAAAUCUUCAAAUGCACAAAGUAAAUCGGAACCCACAGUGAAGUAGCUCUUCAGUAUCUUCUAAGCCCAAGCUGUCAAACACAGACCAAAAGCAAACGUGUCAUAACCAAAAUAACCCAAUGAAUGGUAGAUGUUAAAAUGAGCAUUCCAUUUUCUGAAUGAAAAAAAUCCCAGUGACCUAGCUAUGACUUACAUAAUUAAUUAAAAUGGAUUUGUUAAAAUAUAGUAAAAUAUUAUACCGUUAAGAAUUAACACUGGUAGAAGAAUUUGUUGGGCGGAAUCCAGCGAUCGGUGAUGAACUGAUUAUUACUUAACGGAGGGGCAAGCACACUGACAACAAUAUUUUACGUGGUUCGGCAAAAUCACCUACAUCCACGGGAGAGAGUCCAUUUAUUAGAGAUUAGAAAAAGGAUAUAAUAAAUAUAUAGAGGAGGAUCUAAUCACUCAACUCCCAUCUCUCUUGCUGUCCUUGCAGCUGCUGCAAUGGCUGCUGCCAUUGCAGCUCUCUUUUUCUCUCUAUCCUCUUACGUUUCUCACACACUCCUCACCAGAUUUAGCUCUCUUUGCAUGCUUCUUUUAUAGGCAAUGAAUGGUCAUCAUGGAGGGGCCAACAUGCCACCAUUAGUGGCACUAAUGGAGCAACCACUUGCUUGGUGGUGGUGGCCACUUGCUUGGUGGUGGGGGUAUUGCCAAUAAAUGGCAAUAUCCUAACAGAAUUUACAUGCUCCGUCCGGUUCUAAUUAAAGAGUUCUGUCUUUCUCACCUAUAAUAAUAUAUCAUGAAAAUAAAUGUUUGGGAUGUGAGAAAUCUUUUGUCAACCUUCACCCAUCUCCUCAUUCCCGUAACUUUUCCUUCGAAUGCGGCAACCACUUAUGUAUAAUUCCUGUGGAAGGGCUGCCAAAACAUAAAAGCUGUCCCGUUUAUGUUGGAUUAUGCAAACAUGGAGGUAUCUAUAUUGAUUCUGAUAUCACAGUCUGAAUUUAUUGUCUUCCGUUAGUAAAUCUAUUGGUCUGAAGAAUCCUCUGUCUGGAAGUUCUUUGAAUGGGGCUGUGAUGGCAUUUAGAAAGCACAGGCACCAGGGGGCUUGCCUUUCACUAGCAGAAAUCAUAUUUAUUGUUGAAGAUUUUUUGUGUUGGGUUUUGAUAACUUUAUUUGCAUUUAAUCCACAAAAUCGAUGGGUAUCAUCUCUUUUAGAUGAAUGGUUUAGCUUCCAAGUCUACCAUUCUCUCAUUUAUUUGGACUUAAUCCACUGAAACUGAGGUUUUAUUUGCGCGGAUAAUGAUAAUAUUUGGUGCUAAAUUUCUUGUUGUGAAUUGCAGAAAACAGCUGCUUGAUCUUCACUAGGAUGGUGGUUGCAAAUAAUAAUUAUGCAACCCGGUACGAGUUGCAUGUUAAAUAACUAGUGUAUAUGUAGAUACAGAUGAUGGUAUUUUUUUUUUAUAAUGACCCGUCCGUGUCGUUGUAAGAGGGGCCACCGUUGAUUGUGCCUUGGCCAUGGAGUGAUAUUCCACGCACCACCAACACUGUUCAAGAGCCACACGAACAUGGAGGAAUUACAGGGGCUGGCAGGGGCAGGGUCCUGCAAGGUUUUUUUUUUCUUCAAUAAAUUAGAUUUUUAUCUUUAAAAAUAUAAAAUUUAAAAUUUUGGCCCUCCCUCUAAAAUCUUUUAUCUAAUUUGACAUUCCCAAACUACAAUUCCUAACUCCGUUGCUUACUAUACACACGAAGUCAUUGUUUUAUGAUGAAAAAAUAAUAAAUUUUUUCUUCUUUUCUUGUAUUUUUAAAUUUUGGUUUUCUUUUAUCUUAGAUUUUAUGAAUGAUGAAUUCCAUAACAAGGAUGAUACAUGCCCAUUAAUCAUACAUGUCAUUAAUAACUUUAAAACAUAGACACCUAAUGGUGAAAAUUAUAGAUACAACCAUCAAUUAAAAAAUAAAAACAGCGAUUAAAUAUAUAAAAAAAGUAAUGGAAGUACAAGAAAUAAAAUAGAAAAAUUAAAAUUAGAGACACUUCCAUUGAAAAAUAUAAAUAAUUAGAGGCCCUGAAAACACUAUACACACACACAAGAUUAAGCGCAUUGAAUAAACAACAUGGAUUGUUGGAGUGGCUGUUUUUCCAGGCCUUGGUGAGGUGGUGCAAGUAAAUGAAUUCACACCAAAUACUCACUCGCUAAUCCUUUUCAACUUUUUAUUGAUUAUUUUACCCUUAAUAUUUCAGUUCAAGGAGAAUUGGCAACUCUUGUUUUGCCUUUUUCGGUUUUCUUUGUUAAAACUUCCUAAUCGUGUAUACGAGCAUAAAAGAAUAAUAAUAAUAAUAACAACAACAAUAAAAAUAAUUACUGCAUUAAUUUUUCUCGGAAAAUGUUUUGAUGGGCACCUUUACAUAUUUUCCAUAGAAAGUGUCUAAGAUGCUCUAUGAUAAGAUUUCAAUCCAAUUAAAUAUUUUACAUAUUCAUGGAAAAUCCUCUCCUUGAAUUCUUUUUGCCUUUAUAUCAUAAAUUUUUUAAAAAAACCCUAUUCAUGUUAAAACAAACUUUUCUAUUUUAAUUUUUAAAAAUAGAAUGUUUAAUAAGAGAUAUUAUUAAAUAAUCAUAUAAUAUUAUAAAUAUUAUUAUUAUGAAUUUCACUUUUCACAUGAACAAGAAAGUAUUGCAUUAAAAAUAUCUAAUGAUAAUAAAAUUCUCUUAUUAUACAAGGUAAUUAAAGUUUUUUUAACUCAAUAUAUGUUGAUCAAUACAUGGAUGUAAUUAUCCUGUUAUUUGUGGAUAUCAUUAAAUAAUUAGUAAAAAAAAUAGGUUUUCAUGAUUAGAAAAAUAAAGAAACUUUGAAAAAAAAGAGACAAAAAAAGACAUAAUAUUUAAUGUCUUUGAUUAUUUAUUUAAAAAUUGAUAUUUAUUAACAUUUUGAUACUAGAUAAAUGGGGGAUCUAAUCGGAAAUGUAUUUUGUCUGUAACCCAAAUGAGAAUAAAAAGAUAAUCGGAGGAAAAACAAGUUGUCCUUUUCCCAAAAUAAAAAUAAAAGAGAGGAUAUGGUGUGGACAUUGAGAAAACAAUCAUUUUCAAUAACAACUGAUUAUAGUCAAUUUCAUCCAAAUACUUAUCUCUUGGAAUGGUGUUUUUUUUUUUUUUUUUGUAAAAAAAUCAUUUCCUAUAAUAGUAUUCCAUGCUAAUACAAGAGUUCGGAGGUUUGAUAUAAUAUAAAUAUGAAUCACAUUAAUUAUUUAAUUCCAUCCUAAUAACUGAAAUCCUUUUCUUUUGAGUUCUAUGGACCUGAUCAAGGAACAUUAAUCAUGCAGGAAGAGCAGGCCUCCAUGCCCUUAUGCAUUGUUCUGAUUACAGUGGUAACCUGUUCAAUUUGAUCUUCGCUUGAGCAUGCUGAUAGAAGUACUUUGGCAGUUCCUCCAUCAGGGUGACAUCCAGCAUCGAUCAUUUCUUCAAAGAUUUCCAAGCAUCUUGCGUAUAGUUUCUUUCUAGAGUAGGCUCCCAAUCUUGAAGUCCAAGUCACAACAUCAGGUUUCAGAUUUUUGGUUGGAAGUGAUUGGAAAAUACCUUCCAUUCUCUCGAAAAAUCCUGCUCGUCCAUAUAUGUUGAUUAAGAUGUUGUAUGUACUGAUAUCAGCUCCAUAAGGUCCCUUUUCCAUUGCAGUUAGAACUUCCUCCAUCUUUUCAAAUUGGCCAAGCCGGCCAUACAAGUGCAUCAUGCUGUUGAGGACAAACGUGUCUGGUUCAAGCCCAGAUUCGCUCAUCUGGUUAACAAUUUCUUCGCAUUUAUCCACAUUUCUUGCCCUUGAGUAGGCACACAGAAGUAGCAUGUGUGAUUUCAUUGUAGGGGUUAUUCCUAGUCGCUUCAUCUCAUUGAAUACCGCUUGAGCAUCUAAAAAACAUGAAGGAGCAGCCAAAUCAUUAAGCCAAAACUUCAUUCAAGGAGCAUAUACGAAAAACAAGAGGAAUUUCUUCUAAGCAAGGAAAGGUGUCGCAAAUGGAUGAAAUGCUGAUAGCCUGAUAAUAUCUCAUACAACUUUAUCUUGUUUCCUAGGAAAUCUUAGAAAUAUUGUGGAAGAUCUCCAGAAUAAAAUUGAACACUGUUCCAAAAUAUAAUCCAAAUGUUGCAAUAUAGAUCCCUUCAAGUUCGUAGUUGAUCCGAACGUUUUUAAACCAUUACAUGCUCAAAAUGUUCCCAAAUUCUCUGGAGCUUAAUCUUUCCCCAAUUCUCACUUAAUAAAGUACAUUGAUACUAUUUGGUUCAAGCAUCUUACCCUCAUGAAGGCCAGCUCUCCCAUACGCAUCUACCAUGAUGUUAUAUGAAGCUCUAUCCGGCUCACAGCCCAUGUGCCGCAUGAGUGAAAAUAUUUCUGCAGCCCCGUAAGGAAAACCUGCACGACUGUUAGGACAAGAUAGUUAAAUAUCAUCAGUUCUAUUGGGAAUCUCUUGGAAGCAAGAAGCAGCACCUCCAGUAUUCUUUUCCAUUUUCUUUGAAAGAUUAUUGAAACACCAUAUCAUUCUAUGAUACUAACCUGUAAGCUUCCAUGAGCGCGUUGUAAGUAUACACAUCAGGCUCAAGCUUAUCUUCUUGCAUCUGCUCAAAUAUUUCUUCUGCCUUCUCACAGAGUCCCUCUCUAGCAAACGCGUUCACCAGAGCUGUGUAUGUGCAGAUAUCUGGUCUGCAUUUUUGACUUCUCAUUUCGUUAAACAACUUCAAGGCCAUGUAAGAUUGACUUGCCUGUGUACAGGAAAAAGAUUAGCAAAAUGAGUUUUUAAGGAUCCUAAACACCACUGUUGUCCAGUUAUCAGAAUUUAUAACCAUAUCCUUGAAUUUAGUCUGAUAAUUGUUUGAAAUUGAAUGCAUAUAUUUCAAGUUGUUUGUUGUAUCACUGUAGACUCGUAGACGUACGAGUUACGCAUAAUUUUCUACUGGGACCAGUGGCAUUUCAAGAAGAUCAGAUUUGCAGAAUAAUUCAGAGCCAAAUACCACUGAGCUUACCUUCCCAUGAAGGUUGAUCAACAGUGUAUAGGUGUCAGUAGAGGGCUGGCAGCCAUCAUUUUUCAUUCGCUGAAAGAUCUGAAUUGCUCUUUGAGGGUUUCCAGCCUUCGUUAACCCAUCAAUAUAAGCAUUGUAUACAAUUGCACCUGGCCAAAAUUAGAGUAUAUGCUCACUUUUCACUCAUAGAAUGUGCAUGCAAGUGUAUCAACUAUCAACAGAACAGCUUGAAAAACGAAAAUCUGAGACGUAAAUAAGAGAAUGAAACACAAAAGCAGAACUAAUGCCCUGUAUUUCACCACCACAAAAAGAAGAGAAAUAACCCACGCAAUCUCAUAAAGGAAAGCUACAGAAGCAAGUUUGUCAUCCAGGAGCCUCUAGCCUAAUCCAGUUCCGGUCUAGCUAAAUUAGCAAGGGGGUCCCUCUUGGUUUAAUCAACCAUUCUCUAAGCAUGGUGAUGUAGAUAAGGAGUAGUAAUCACUACUAUUAUAGUAGCAACAAGAAAUAUGCAGACCAUGAACCAAUCUUCUCUUUUCCUACAUUUAGUAUACUUCACCCCCGAAAAGAAAAAAGAAAUACAGCUCUGUGCAAUUAUUGAGCAAGGUUUCAAAAUUUAAAACGAAUUUAACCCCACAAAAAAUCAAUUUUUGAGGCAAAGAAUCUUACAAGUUGAGGAAAUUUUUGUUUUGUAAGAAAUGGUUGAUGUAGUCCAAUAACUUCUUGAAAAUACAAUUUCCCUAAAAGCUAAGAAGAAAUGAAUUGGUAAACACAUACUUGGAGGAAGGCUAUACUUUCGCAUAUCAACAAAGGCAGCUUCAGCUUUUUCUAACAAUCCACAUGCACAGUAAGCCUUUAUAAGAAGGGCAUAAGUGUCUUCAGUAGGGAUACACCUGGCUUGAAGAAGAUCAACAUAUGUUUCUUCUGCCUUCUCGUACAAAGAUUUUUGCCCAUAAGCAUCUAUUAGUAAAUUGUAGCACAUGACAUCUGUCUGGAAGGAGCUCUUGUACAAUAUCCAUUGACAUAUCUGGAAAUUUUAGAGUUACACCCAACAAGAUUAUUAAGAAUUAAGAACAAACGAUAUGAAAAAUGUCUAUAUAAUAAAUAGAGACAGUAAAGAGAUUUGUUUCAUUUAGUUGUAGGAAAAUGCUGGUAUAUGAGAAUUCCAAACACCAACUGCAGCACCAACCACUUAAAGGAGAUUUGAACAAUCGAGGAUUCAGUCUUAAUGGUUGAAGAGAAAAAUACUGUACAAAAAUCCUGCCACAAAAAUUUGUGCGUGCAAGGUGGUUUAAUCCAUCGCCUACCACCUUACACGAUGAAAGAAAUAAGGCACGAUUUACUCACCAAUGCAAUCGGAUCCCAUUGUUUAUUCAAACGAAGUUGGACGGCUACAUUAAUAAGAUCAUCCCAAGUCUCGUGAGUGACAGGAAGAGUAUCAAGAGCAGCCCAAACAUUAUUCGGAUCCACUUCUUUCCGCACAAAGUUCAGAAUCUGAUGAGCAACAGGACUUAGCACUGGGAAAAUUCCAUCAACAAAUCCAGAUCCAUAUUUCCAUCCUUGUCCCCUCAAAGAGCCACCUGGGUAUAAAAGAUGACUUAAUAAUUAAAGCCAUAUUUGCUUGAGCAGUUAUAUGUAUGAGCACAAAGUGAAUUACUCCGUAUUACAUCGUUUCCUGGACAUCUUUUUGUGAUCAAAGAUUCGCCAUUUGCCAUGUUUGUCGAUAUAGACCCUGUCGCUUUUCCACUUUUUAACAUCUCCACUACUGGAAUUCUUUUCUCGGCGUCUGAAAUGACCAUUCCGGAUUCUUGAUUCUAUAAAAAUAUGAUUCAGUGUGCAUCUAACAAGCAACCUGCAAACACUAAUCAAGUAAACACACAAUUGCCAGCAACAAAAUACACACCUCUUAAUUUAAAGCCAUUACACGGAGGAAGCAACCAAAUAAAAUCCAUAUAAAGGAUGCUUUAGACUUCAAAAUAAUUGGACAAAGAGAGACACUAAAACUACUUUUAAUCACAAUAGCAAACACUUGAAAUGCAAACCAGAAAACCUAGUUAAAAAAGAAGAAGAAAAGUAGUCAACUUUUCCUUUGUAAACCAAAUAUCUUUUCCCUUUCUUCCGCAGUAAUUCUUAACUGCUGUGAGUAUACGUUUUUUUUUCAUUACAGAAUCAAAUAUUAGUCUAAUCUAUCAGAUUAAACUACAAAAAUCAAAAUUUGCAAGAUAAACAAGGCCACAACUGUUGAAGACUGGUUAGAGUUCAACAACGAUAAGCAUAGCACUCUGACAGCUAAAACUGGUCCAUCAUCUUAUAACUUCUGAAGUCACAGUAAGACUUUUUAGAUAAUGAUGAUUGCUCGUUCAAUAUAUAUGAGAGCCAACAAAAUGCUAAAAUGUUUUAACUAAUAAGAACACAAAACAAUUUAGACAUACUCUCUCAAGUGAACGUUGAUACUUAGCAAUUCCAUUGAAACCCAUUUCCCAGAACAAUAAAUUCCAUGAAAAAGCAAUAUUAUCCAGCAAGAGGAGAAACACCAGAAUUGAAGUUAAUAAAUACAGAAAAUAACAAGGCAGCAUGAACAGCAUUAGCAGUGGCAUUGCAUAAGGAAAGAGAGGAAGGAAGGAUACGACUUACAUGAAAGCAUAAAAGAGGAGUUUGGAGUUGGGUAUCUGUAAACAUCCAGUAGGCAAGAAGAUAUGUGAAGAGUGUUUCUUGGAUAAUGGACUACAUGGAUGAAGACCAGCACUGCCAGACAAAAGUAGCUUCUGUUUUUUUCUGUUUACUAAGGGACAAAAGCCUCAAAAUAUCUCUAACGAACUUAAGGCGUCAAACAAUAGCGUUAUUGUAGCCUCGUGGUGUCUGAGGUUGCAUGGGAUUCUAUAUUGAGACAGUAGCUGAUAGCUAGAAUAAUCAAUUCUAAAAAAGUUUAUUUUUAAUAAUAAAAAAAGAAGAAGAUCAAAGGUUAAUUUGUUUAAACACAAUGGACAAAUUAUUGUCAUUAUUAUUAGUAUAAUUUAACAGCAGAUACUCCAGCAUGACACUUGUUGCAAAGACGAAGCUAUGAAGUGCCAAUUGAGUUGCAAUUCGACUCUACUAGCAGAAGUUUCCAUGCUAAAAAAGCGAAAACUGCUGUUAAAAUGGGUUAAAAGGCUUAUUGAGGUUGGGGUGAUUUUUUUAUUUUUUAAAAAAAUUAAUUCGCUUUUAUAUUUUCAGAGUUAAUAUUAAUUUUUUAAAAUAAUAAUAAAAAUAUCAUUUUAAUAUAAUUCCAAGCAAAAACAUAUUUCAAGGGCGAAACUUCCAUUCUCUUAAUAUAAACAGGGUUACGUCAUGCAUUUCCAUUUUUACAACAGUAGUUUUGGCUGCAAUUAGAUGGGGCAAAAUAAGCUAUAACUUUUGUGUGACUUGGAUCAAAUUGAAGAAAUAGAGUGUAAACUGAAAAAUUGAGGCAAGUACAAGGACCCAAAAAUAAAGUAAGCAUUUUAAUUCGAUAUCCAUAUUCCACGGUCCCUCUCUUUCCUUCUUCGGAGCUCCAUUGGAAUUAAAUGAGAACGGCCAUAUUACAGGUCAAGCAUUGAGAGGAGAUAAAUAUAAUUGAAAAGACCAAUUUUCUGCACUCUGUCAAACGUAUCAUAUAGGAAAUCAUAUUGAUGCAAAACUUUAGAAGCCAUCUAAGAUUGGAGAGAAGUUUUGUAACAUUUCCACAUCACAGUUCUACAAACAUGGAAUUAAUGGAAACUUCGGCUAAAAGCAACUGAUUCAAGCAAAUUCCAGAGGAAAGUAACACAAGUAUCUCGAUUGGUGUCAAUACUGGCAAGAACUCCACUUUAGCCAAAAAAUACAAUGUCUAUUCCACUUCAGCCAAAUAAUCAUCAAUUUCGGCUGGAGUUAGUACCCUGCAGUAAAGAAAGCACAAGGGAUAAGUUUGCCAUGGUCAUGCCACACAUAAAUUCUUCCAAGGAAGCUUAAACAUCCAAAGAAAUAGUGGAUUGGCCAUUUUGAACACGAGAUCCAUAUGUAAAUUGUCAGACUGAAACUAGAGCAAGGGUGCGUGAAAAUCAGAACUUCAAAACUGAAACCACAAGUGGAAGGCCAUAUAUGAAAUUGGUGAGAUCCAAAAGAUUUUAGAUAUCAGAUUUUAUCUAGUUAUGAACUGUGUUAACAAAAAUGUGCAUCCUGCAAGUUACUUCUGGAACUCAUCCUAAGCUUGAAAUUACGUGACACUAUUACCAAGUUUAACAAGGAAAAAGGGUACAAUUUCAAUGUUUUUCAAAGAGCAUGCCUGAAUUGACAUGCAAAGACACCUGGUACAGCUGUGGACCUUUGUCAUCAAAACCAGCGAUUAGUAAAGAUACUCCAAAAGGCCUUACACCUCUGCGAGGAAAAACAAAGGAUGAGUAUUUUCAAACUUCAAGAAUAAGAGCAUGAAGAGUUGACAUGCUGAUGCAGGAACAUAGGGAGAGAGUUGUUGGCCUAUUAGAAUAAGGACUAAGGUUAUGAACUUUGGAAAUUAAAAUUCAGAUCUAAAUUACAAAGGAAAUCAACUAAAACCACUGAAACACUUUGAAUGUAUAAAAGAUGUUCCAGUACCCAGAUUGAGUAAACUCUUGCAUGACAGCAGCAGUUUCCCUCACAAGUUGUGUGACAGGAAUUGGUUCCUACAAUCAUAAAAAUUCACAAGUUACAACCUUCCCGAUUAACAACAAAAGAUGACAAUGAAUUGAUAUAAAAUAGUAAUUGGAUAUUUAACUCUUGGAUUUCAAGCAAAAUUAAGCUGUUUUGGGGGUCAGAAUGGCAUUGUUGGGAAUAAGACAACUAAUAAGAAGUCUUGUAAUAUAGACAACCUCAAUACCUGCUUUCCACUUUGGACCUUAGCACGAAUAUCUAAAGGAAAUGUAAUUACCCCGACGCCUCCCCAGGCGGGUGAUAUCUUAUCUUAACCAGGUUAUCAAGCAUUAGACGAAUUAUAUACAUGAGUUUGUUUAGAGGCAUCAAAAGGAUGCACAUAUCCCAUUCAUAAGAUAAGCCAAGAAAAUUUAGCAACCUUAUCACUUAUCAAUGACAUGAAAAGAAAAGCUGAAGAACAAACGUGAAGCAAAAUAAUAAAGAAAAUCUUGAAGAUACCACCUUGUACAGUCUAUGAUAUUGCUCUGCUUGCUUCCUACUUUUCCGAACCAAAACUAGAAAGUCAGGACCCAUUCCACUGCAACAAAAUACAUGUGAUUCAGCACUGUUAAGAAAAAAGUACAGCAAAGCAACCCAUUUUGACAUAGGUAAUAAGUUGCACAAGUUAGUAAGAAGUGGCUCAUUGAGCAACCAAAUUGCCAAGAUGUCUUAUUUCAAACCCAAGUACAGAGGAACUACAUAUUUGUCCCCCUCUUUUUUUCAGUUGAAACAGAAACAGGGUACAUGUACAACGUGUUAAAGUCACGUCCAUAACCAGACCAAUUAAGAACAUUGACCUACAAGGAGUUCCACUGAAGUUCAGAUUAUAACAACAGGCAUGCUUCUAUCUCAAUUUACCACCCCGGGUCAAAUUUCACACUUAUCAGGACACUAUAACAACAGCAGAAACUAUACAAUUUCCCACCAAACAUAAAGAGAGCUUUGAAUCUACACACCCGCCUGCUACAAUCAUUCAUGACAGAUAUUUUAGCAAUAAUUAAGGCCAGAGAAACACAAGCUAAAAAAAUGGAACUUCCUAAUUACUGAGAAGCAGGCAGAAACAAACCUGUAGACAACUCCAAUAUUGGGUGUCAGAUUCUGUAUUUUCUGAACCUGAAACAAGAAGCAAUUAAAUACCAUCAACAACCAACUCAAGUUACAUCCCAUCUUGCAAAUUAGAAUAAUAGACCAAUAAACUGGCUUCAAAAUCAAACCAUCUCCACCUCAGUCAACACGAUUUAAAAUAACCAACACUGCCUUUUUAUACAAUGUGGGAUUAAAGAGGAUAUAAAUCUACACACUCCAACAUUCAAAGCCCCAAUCUUAGAGUCAUUGACUAGUAUAGUAACGCCUCAUUGGCAGGAACCCAAAUCACUAAGCUCAAAUUACUAAUAAAAAUUACAAAUUUACACCGAAUUUGAACAGAUUUCUACCAACCGAUGUCACUAAAGAAAACACAAAAAAAAAAAAACGCAAAAAACCAAAAGGGCUUCUUGAAUUUAAACCAAAGAAUAUAACAAAACCAAUAAAAAAAAUAAUAAAUGUUUACUUACAGAAGAUUCAUCGACUAAAAUAGAUGGCAAUUUCUUCUCAGUUGCAAUAACAACACCGUUUGCCGCUACAACACCAAAAAAAUAAUAAAAUCAACAACAUAAUAUCUAAGCACUCAUCAACAACGUAGUGCAUUCGAAAAUGACAAGAAAAUGAGAGAAAAAAAGAGAGAGAGGGAGCUUAAAUUGCAACAACCUUUGAUUCCGAGAGAAGUUUGGCCUGAUCCAACGGCAGUCAAUGCGUGCUCAAUCUGUACUAGCUUUCCGGUAGGACUGAAAGUAGUGAGAGAAAAGGAGUACUGGCUAUCACCCAUGGUUUAUUGCUUGAAGACGCAGAGAGGAAAAACUGAGAAUGCGAGUGUGUGGGAGAGAAAGACAGGGAUAUUUACUUGGGGUUUUAAGUUUUAACUUUGCUUUUCUCGUUGGAGAAGAAGGUGUUUUCUUACGAGGGCUUUCACAAGGGAGUAUUAUGGGCUUUUAUGACGGCAGGUUGGUCCUCUUUACAUUGAGCUCAAUGAAGGCUCGGAACCAGUUUUGUUUUUAAGUAUUAUUAACAAAUUUUUAUUUAUUUAUUAAUAUAAAUAAUUUUUAAUUUAUUUAAUUACAUUUAUAUAUAUAAUUUUUAAUUUAUUAUAUUUUUUGAACUAGAAAAAUAUAUUUAAAGAACUGCAUAUAUAAAUUUUUAUAAAAAAUAAAAAUAUUUGACUCAUAAUAAAUCAUUCAUAUUUUUAUAAAAAAAUAAAGAUGGGUAAACUCUUAAUUAGGCCUUGCUGCUGAAUUUUGUUGUUGAUUUGUAAUUUAAUUAUUGUUUAAGAUUUUUUGUGUUAGAUUUGGAUAACUUUAUUUGGAUUUAAUCUCCAAAAUUGAUGGGUAUCAUCACUUAUAGAUGAAUGGUUUAGCUUCUCUCAUUUAUUUGGAUUUAAUCCACUGAAACUGAGGUUAAGAAUUUCUUGGAUUUAAUCCACUGAAACAGUUGCUUGAUCAAGAUCAUUGGCUUGUUUGAAGGCAGAUAAAGGCUUAAAAAAAAGGCGAGAGGGAGCGAGAAAGAGAGGAUGUGAGAAAUAAUUAUAGUUGAAACAAAUGAAUUACAUAUCAUUUUAUGUUGAGGAGAGAGAGAGAGGAUGUGAGAAAUAAUUAUAUCAUCUUAGAUUACAAAUCAUUUUGAGAAAAUCUAAAAGAAAAUAUCAUCUUAGAUUAAUUAUAGAUAUGAGUUGCAGUAGUUGAAAUUUCAAAGGCAAUUUUUUUAGAGUAGCAUUUGGAGAAUUUAAGUAAGGAAUAAGCUUCACGUGAGCGAGAUAAUAUCACAGCUGCAUUUGAUAGAGUAAAUGGUAAGUAGGAACUAAAAUCGAAUUACAGUAAAGAGGUCACAUAGAGUAAAUGGUAAGAAUUAACACCAAAGCAAAUAAUUAAUACCCUCAAAAAAGUUCUGCCUUUCUCACCUAAUCAUAAAAAUCAAUGUUUGGGAUGUGAGAAAUCUUUUGCCAAUCUUCACCCAUCUCCUCCUUCCCGUAACGUUCCCUUAGAAUGGGGCACCAUCUUAUCUCCAAUUCCUGUAGAGGCGCUGCCAAAACAUAGUCUGGUAGUGCUCUCAACAACGGGCAAUUAACAAUCAUCAACUCUCGAAGUUGUGGCAUAAUGGAUAUUAUUGAAGUUGUGUUGGCAUCUUCUUCUCCCAAGGAUCUCCUUUCAAUUCCAUCCCACUCCUCUACUUCUGUGAGACCCUCCAUCGCAAGUUUUUUUAAUUUGGGGAAAGCAGUGACCCUUGCAAUUUCUCCUUCAUUAAUACUGGCAUUCUCAUCUUUUUCUAUACCUAAAAAUCCAGCAUCCAGCCUUCUCACCUUCAUCAAAAUCAAUACCAGGCUUUCAAGGUUGGGCAAUCUACCCAACGGAGGCAAGACCUCCAGGUUUUCACAAUAACGGAGUGUAAGCACCUGUAAUCUGGUUAAUGCCAUCAUCCAAUUUGGCAAAUCCAACCCUCCGUACCCAUAUAUGGUUAGAUUUUCCAAGUCUGACGGAGGCCGUAAAGCUUCAAAUAAAAUGCCGUCCUCCAGGUUGUGGUCGAAAACCAAUUCCAAACGAAGCAGGCGCUUCUUAUUCUUGAGUUGUGCUUCUGCAGCGUCCCUCGCAUCUUCUUUACCUCCUCCUAGAUUCCCUAUCUGAAGACUCCCUCCAAUGUGAUUUAAGUUUUUUAAUUCUCUUAGAUUAGCUGCUUUACUUUCAUUCUCACCACCACCACACACAAAAAACUGGUCUAAUGUUCGAAGACAUGUUAUCCUCUCUAUUCCCUUUGGUAUGAAGGCCACACCUGAACCAUAAAUCCGGAGAUGCCUCAAUUUGAUAAGUUUUCCAAUCGCCCGAGGUAAUUCGUUGAGAUAACAACACUGAGUAACGUCUAGGGAUUGCAGAUUGCAUAAAUCACAAAUGGUUUCUGGCAGGGACUCCAACAUUCCACAAAAUGCCAAAUUGAGGUGUCUCAAAUGUAUCAAUUUCCCUACCUGAUUUGGUAUUUCUCUGAUAGAAGACUCUGACAAAUUCAAUGACCUGAUGCAUGUCAACUGCUUGAAUAAAUCAGGUAGUGCAGCUCCAAGCGAAGAGUCUCCAGUGUGGAUCAAGAGGCUGCGAAGACCUUUUGCUUUGUGAAUGGACUUGGGAAAAGAGGUCACCGCUAAAUGACGAACCCUUUCAAUUGAAGUCUUCACUGUUAGACAUUCAUUUUUUGUCAUAUAUUGGGCAAAAUCAUGCACUAUAUCAUGCAUCUUGAAUCUCAUUCCUUCACGAUCACUCUUCUCAAAAUCUUGGAAGAAAGAGCGCGUUGCUAAGACUUGAAAGUACUGCUCUCCUACAAGCUCCAUAUCUCCACCUGAAGUCUCCUUGAGGUAACCUUGAGCCAUCCACAUCUUCACCAAUUCAUCUUUGUCCAUCUCGUAGUCUUUUGGAAACAUGGCACAAUACAAGAAACAUCGUCUUACCACAGAAGGUAAAUCGUAGUAACUCAAAAGCAAAGGUGGAAAUAGUCCUCUUUCAACAUGUUCUAGCUCCCACAGUUCGCUAGAUAAAACAUGUUCCCACUCUUCUCUUGUUCUUUUAGACUGCAUUAGACCUCCUAAUACCUUGGCAGCUAGAGGCAAGCCCUUGCACUUGCUUGCAAUUUUGUCGCCGAUUUCUGUCAAUCUUUCGCACUCAUCUUUGCUUCUUUUAUGGAAUGCCACCUGAUUGAAUAUUGACCUGCAUACCUCAUCAGACAAUUUCUCAAGGUUGAUCACGUGGUCAGUUCCUAUCAUGGUUGCCACAGAAUGUUUACGACUGGUCACUAGAAUUCUGCUUCCUGUUGCACCGCCUUUGAGAGAUAGUUUCAGUGGUUCCCAUUGUCUAUGAUUUUCUGUCCAGACAUCAUCUAGGACAAGAAGGAACCUCUUUCCCUUAAUUGAUUCAGAAACACUUUGCAAAAGGGAUUCCAAUUCAACUAAAUUCGGUGCACCCCCUUGAAGCGCCUCAAGGAUAGCUUUUGAUAUCCUAACCUCAUCGAAUGGAUCUGAUACACACACCCAUAUCUUUUUCUCAAAAUGAGCCGUAACCCGAGCAUCAUUAAAAGCUAGUUGGGCGAGAGUUGUCUUUCCAAUCCCGCCCAUUCCUACUAUAGAGAUCUCCACGUCCCCUGCUUCCUGAAUACUUUCGCCCAGCAACUUGCUUACUACAGCUUCCCUUUCAUCAUCUCGACCACGCACGAUUGAUUCAUCAACAAGGGAGGUACUUGUUAUUCGUUGUAGUUCAUCAGUGGCUCUGUACAACUCAAAGCCAAACAUAGCUCUCUCUUUGGUAAUCUCAUCCACUUUUUCACAUACUUCUUUGAUCUUGAGGGCAAUGUCGCGACGUCGAGCCACUUGAUUGAAACAAAAGCAAGGAGAUCCCAGGAAGGAACAUCGCAUCUUCUGUAGGCUGCGAGUAUUUUCUUCAACUUCCUCCAUUUUCCAUCUAAGAAUUGCAGUGCUCCAUUCAUCUAGCACGUCAUCCAUAUCAUAGCAUACAUCUUUGAGCUUGUCUGCCCAAUCCCUUACAGCCUUAUCCUUCACUUGUUUUCUAUCUGCAUCUUCAAGGACAGAUUGGAUAGCAAGGAGAUUGCUUUUCAGCUUGUCGACUUGUUUCUGCACACCCCCUACUAGGUUCACUUCUUCCUGUACCUAUUGGUGUAGAAAAGACCAGAAAGUUCAAGCAGAGGAAACAGUUCUAUGAUUUCACUACAAGUUUUUAAUUUUAAUUUUUGGGAAUUAAUAGAUUAAAUAAUUUUUAUUAAUCUUUUUUCCGCAUAGUUCACACGUACAGUGAAUUGGAUUGGCUAUAUUAUAAAUUCAUAUAUAAAAUAUUUAUUAAGAACCUAUAUAUUAAAAAUAAUAAUAUUUCUUUUUAUCAUCAUCAUGAUGAUAUCUCUGUCUGCACUCUGCUACUAUACAAGAAAGGAAAAAAAUGAAUCUUAAAUUGUUCGACGUCAAACCUGUAUAUAACAUAAGCUUGGCGGAUCAAAGAAAUAUAAAAGGAAUAAAAGGAAAGUGAAUAAAAGGAUCUGUAUUUGUUGUUAUUUGUAAAGUCUAUAAUAAGAUUAUGGAAGAAAAAAAAGACUUAAAUUUUUAUAUUUCUUAUCAUGUUACGGUUAAUUCGAUCAUUGCAAAUUGUAUAAAAGUAAUUACCUGUUGAGCAACGACCGUGGUUAACUGCUCCAAAAUUGGCGAUAAAAGUGCCUCUGCCAUUUGUCUUUUUGGUUUAAUUUUAUUUUUAAAAAAGAGAUAAUUAUGAUGAUGAACUGAGAGAGAGAGAGAAGAGUGUGAGGGGAAGGAGGCUGCUGGUUGUGAAAUGAAGAGAGAGGGUUAGUUUAUGUACUUGGGGUUUGGUGAUGAGGGUUGACUAUUGUUUCCAUCCCUGUACUGUUUCUAACAUUUCAAUUCAGUCCCUGUAUUAUUGAACGUUUCAGUCUAGUCUCGGUCAGGGGUUUCCAUCUGCGGAUGGCUUUUCCUGAUUGUAUGUUUCUACUGAGAAUGACAUGCCAUUUUGAGUUCCAAAGGUGAAACACUCGUGCUUUUCUAACUUUUCCUGGCUAAGGAUUAUUAUUUGUGGAAAGUAAUUUCUUCUUCGAUUUAUAGCAAUUAUUUUGGAUUGAUACUGACCUUAGGUUAAGAAUGCUGUAGUUUCUACUGAAAUGUAUCUGAUACAGACCUUAGGGACAACUGAUUAUAGCAUUCUUCUCGUCUGCUUCUCUAUUUCUUCUCUUCAUUUUAUGUUAUUCCACUAGUCUUCCAAACUGGAUCACGGUGAUAUAUAUCUGUCCAUCCAAACUAAUUUACCCAAACCAAAAGUAGUAACCAAUUAGCUCGUGUAAUGGAACUAUAAACAAGCAUCUAUCUUUCUGGGUUUUUGAGAUCAGGUGAUUUUAUCCUGUUUUCAUAGCAGGGACUGGGGUUUGAUAUUGAUCUUUGAUUUUACCCAAACCAAAAGUUUGAAAGGAUUGCUGGUUUGUGUGAUUGGAGCUCCUUUCAAUGGGUGUGAAAAGGCCAAGAAAUGAGCAAGAUUUUCUGGAGGAAAGGAUUCAUAUUGUCUGGACUCAAUCACCUUCCUUUCUUCUUCUUCUUCUUUCUGCAGGAAAAAAGUAGAGCAGAGCAACCCUUUUUGACAGAGGCUAGUAAGUUGCAGAAGUUAGUAAGAAGUGGAUCAUUGAGCAACCAAAUAGCCAAGAUGUCUUAUUUCAAACCCAAGUACAGAUGAAUGCCGUAUUUUUAUUUUUCUAAGGAACUGCAUAUUUGUCCCCCCACUUCUUCUUUUUCUGUUGAAACAGCGACAGGGUACGUGUACUCUAGAAAAUAUUUAGAAUGGAAACAAAUAGAAAGUAGCUUAAAAUUGUGAAAAUAUUGUUUUUAAAUUGUUUAUUUCAAACCUAAUUAAUAAUAUGUUUUUGUUUUAGAUAGUUUUUGUGAUUCUGAUUUGAAAAAAAAUAAGUUUUAAAAAAGUACAGCUAGCUGUGAUUAAUUGAAUUUAAAUACGUGUUUAAUAAAAAUUAUGGUUAAAGUUUAUGUAUAAUAAAAAAUAUGUAUAAAAUAUUUGAUAGUUAUGUUUGAGACUGUGGUUGUGAUUGUUUUUUAAAGUGUUUUUUACAUUAAAAUAAUAUUUUUUUAUUUUAAAAAAAUUAUUUUUGAUAUCAGUGCAUCAAAAUGAUCUGAAAACACCAAAAAAAUAUAUUAAUUUGAAAUAAAAAAAAAUUGUUUUUUACCAGUAAAUCAAAGUGUUUUUUACCUCAUUUUUCCUUGAUUAAUUCUAACUACGAAACAGCUACUGCACCAACAAGAUGGAAAAGGCUCACCAAGAUGUUCUCUUUGAAAAGAUUCUCAAUGAGUCGUUGACAUCUCAUACUUGUCUAAAAAUUUUAAUCUUUUUUUGGAAAAGAUUCUCAGUGAGUCUGUCUCCUGGCUUAUUGAUCAACACUUUUAUCAUAUUGUGAACAAACAUGUCAAUUUCCAGAAUUUUAUUGAGUAGGAUGACUGUAUAGAAUUACUCUGAUUUAUCAACACAUAUCAAAUUCUUGCUGCUGCUGAGGAAGAUAUCCUGCACUUAGCCAUCAUAGAGGGUAGCAAGGUUUUGUGUUGAUGGUAAUUACACUGACUCAUCGUCUAUCAUCUAGAAUUCAAUUUUAAAAAAUAUUGCAAGAAAUGUUUUUUUUCCUAAAUACAUCGAUCGGGUGUGGAUAGAUUGAUUACAAAGCGACUUCCUAAAAAGUCUUGGUCUUAAUAUGCAAAGAUGAUCCAAGUAUGCCAUAUAUUAUUUUUUUAAAAUAAAACCCACAUAUCUAGUCCACGCAAAGGUACUCGAAUAUGGAUUUGUAAAAAUAAAAAUGAAUAUUUAUACGAAAUUGAAUUGUGCAAAUAAAACCCACAGAUCUAGUCCAUGAUCUACGGCUCCUCCAGAGUUCCGUAGUGGUGUCUUUCUCAACUAUUCUUUAAAUAAAAUGUUUGGGAUGUGAGAAAUCUUGUGCCUAUCUUCACCCCUCUCCUCCUUCCCGUAACGUUUCCUUAGAGAAUUUAUGUAGAGGCGCUGUCAAAACAUAGGCCGGUAGUGCUCUCAACAAUGGGCAUUUGAGAAUUCUAAACUCACAAGUUGUGGCAUGAUGAAUAUUGAAGUCGUGGUGGAAUCUUCUUCUCCCACUCUCCUUUCAAUCCCAUCCCACUCUUCUAGUUCUUUGAGAUGCCAAAUGCUGAGUUUUUUCAAUUUAGGGAAAGGAGAGUGGUAGUUUUUUCAAUUGGGGCAAUACUCUUCCAAUUCUCUUUCACUAAUAUUUAUUGGUGGAAAAAAUCACUGAUAGUAGUUUUAAAACACUCAAAGAAAAUAAAACAUAUUGUUUUAUUUCAACAACAAGAAGCUUACAAUAAUUAAACAAAAGCUUUUAAUACACACCCUCUUUUUCUCUCUAGUGUUCAUCUCUUAUCUUUCCCACACACAAUUACAUAAACUUACCUAUCUAUUUAUACACAAAUUAAAAGUAAAAAAAAAAAAAUCAAACUUCAAGUGUGAAGGCGGCUGGUGGCUAAACAGUGGGGUCCUUUUGUAUUUUGUCAAAAGAGAUGAAAUUAUAAUCAAUGAUGAUGAUAUAUAUAUAUAUAUAUAUAUAUAUAUAUAUAUAUAUAUAUAAACUACUAUGUGCAUUCUAUAAUUUAGUUAUAUAAUACAAUAGAUCUUUACAAUUAGUGAUUUCAACUUACCAAUAGAGAAAUUAUAGUAGAUCUUUACUAUGAUAUAUUCAAAAUAAAUAAAUAAAACAGGUAUACUUCAACACGCAUAUUAUACAUACACUUCUUUUUUAAAAAUUAAUCAUAAAAAAUUGAUUAGUUAUUUAUUAUAAAAAUCAGACCUGUAAGUUAUAUCUAAAUCAUUGAAAAUAGUAAAGGUAAACUAAUUAGAAGAGACAAUGUAUUUCAAAUUAGUUAAUUUAUAUAGAAUUAUUUUAGUUACUAAAUUAAAAAAUUCAAAUUUUUAUAUCACUUGGAAUACAUAAGGUGGAUUUAAUCCACAAAAUCGAUGGGUGAUAACCUCUAAGAUAUCGAUGGGUACAUAUAUGGUGGAUUUAAUCCACAAAAUCAAUAAGAGACCAAUCGGCUAGCUCCAAAAUCAAACCAUCUCCACCUCAUUCAAACACGAUUUAAAAUAAUCAACACCACCUUUUUAUACAAUGUGGGAUUAAUGAGGAUAUAAAUCCAAGGCUCCAACAUCCAAAGUCUCAAUCUUAGAUUUAUUAGCUAGUAUAGCAACGCCUCAUUGGCAAGAACCCAAAUCACUAAGCUCAAAUUACUAAUAAAAAUUAUAAAUUUUCAGAUAAUAUUUUUAAUAUUUAAUCUUUCUAGCAAUUGAUGAUAGCAAUUGCAAAUGAAUAGAGGAGGAAGCAUCGAGAUCAUUGGCUUGUUUGAAGGCAAAUGGACCCUUUGAUCGUUAGAUGAUGCAUCUAAAUGAGGCUCCACAUUAUAAAAGCGUAAUUAGGUGGCACGCGCUAUCCCACAAACUCACCUUAGAUUUUCAAAAUAAAAUUAGAUGGAGGAUCCAUGUCUAUUUGGGUCCUCCCUAGACAGGACCCCAACAUAUUCGGGUCCAGUAACGACCAGGUCCAAGUCUAGCGUUGGGCUAGGUUGGGUAGGACCCAAGGUUAUUUGGGUGUACCUGGCAGAAUCCAAGAUUGUUUUUGAGUCCUGCAACUAAUAAUUAUAUGUAAUUUCUAAAUGAAACUAAAUGUAAAAUUAAAUAUAAUUUGAUAAAAUUAUUAUAAACAUUUGGUAAAAUUAGUAAAUGAUAUAACAUUUUCUUUCAAAUUCAUCAAUUAUUUAAAUAUUAAGUACAAAAAAUACUCUUAUGAAUUUUGAUAAAAAUAAUAAUAUUUAUAAUACAACUGAUAACAUUUUUAGUAUUAAAUUAUUAAUUAAUAUAAAUAAUAUUAUUUAUAACACCAAAAAUAAUAAUAUUUUUGAGAUUAAUACUAUUAAUUAGACUAAAAAAUAAUAUUAAUAAAACAAAUAAUAAUAUUUCUAAUACUAAUACUAUUAAUUAUACUAAAAAUAUAUAUUAAUAAAAAUAUAAAAUACUCUUAAUAUUAAUUAUACUAAAAAAAUAUUAAUAAAACAAAUAAAUAUUUUAAUACUAACUUGUAAUUAUACUAAAAAUAUGGGCAGCCCAAGCGCUAAGUGAUGCUUGGACUACACUCAAGAGAAAUCAUAUUAUUUUAAAAUAUUUGUCCACUAAUUGCUAUUGAAUUUAAAAUAAAUAUACUUUUAAAACUAAUAUAAAGUUACCAAUAGUCGAUUUGAUAGCUGCUUGCAUAAAAUCUCAUUGAAUUUGGCCAAUGGUUUUUUAGAAUAAAGUAAAAAAAAAGUUAUUUCAAAACAUAACCAAAGUAGUUUUAGUUAUUUGUCAGAAACUAGUAUAUCCCAUAAAAAUCAGAGUUUUGGAUGAAAUAAAAUCAAUUCUAAAAUCAAACGCCGAUUGAAGCUUCAACGCAUUUGUGAACUAGAGAAUUUAAUUAUUAAACUCGUUUGUUUCGCGUUCAAAAAUAUUUUAAAAUUAUUUUAUUUUUUAUUUAUUUUUUUGUUUUUUAAAUUAAUAAUUUUUUUAGUAUAUUUAGAUCAUUUUAAUGUGUUUAUAUAAAAAAUAAUUUAUAAAAAAUAAAAAAAAUUAUUAUUUUAAUAUAUUUCUAAUAAAAAAUACUUUGAAAAAUAAUUAUAAUAAUACUGUCACACAUGCUGUUUAAUGUUUGUUCAAAAAUUGUGCUUUUUAAAAUAUGCAUUCUAACGCAAAGAAAGCAUAUAAAACACAUCAAAGUUGCAAAAGUACGUAGUUUUAAUUAUUAGCAAAAGUAUUCUAAAAUAUGAAAAGAUAGGUUUAAAUACCCUAAAUAUCCGUAAAUAACUAGAAAAAAAUUAAUAAAACUAAAAUCCAAAAUUAUCAAGGCAAAAAUCUAAAAUAUGGUCUGAAACUUCAAAGGCAAUUUUUUUAGAGUGGCAUUUGGAGAAUUUAAGUAAGGAAAAAGCUUCACGUGAGCGAGAUAAUAUCAUCUUAGAUUAAUUCUUUAACAUGUAAAAUUUAAGUCUAAUUCAAUAAUUAAAUAAAAAAUUACCUCUUCCUGCCGGUCUUAACUAUUCUUUAAAUAUAAACAUAUGAAUUACAUAUUAUUUUAUAUAUGUUGAGAGAGAGAGAGAGAGAGAGAGAGGAUGUAUACUAUAUAUAUCACAGCUGCCUUUGAUAGAAUAAAUGGUAAGUAGGAAAUACAAUCCAAAGUCAACAUUAUACAGUAAAGAGGUAUAUGAAACAUACCUCGUCCUGCCUGUCCUACAGAUUAUGGUAAGUCGGAAAUCGAAUUACAGUAAAGAGGUCACAUAGAGUAAAUAGUAAGGCUUACAUAUUAUUUACACUCAACCUUAGCAAACACCAAAGCAAAUAAUUAAUACACUCAGAACCAAAUCUUUUACCGUUAAGAAUUAACACUGGUGGAAGAAUUUAUCAUCAAAAUAAAUGUUUGGGAUGUGAGAAAUCUUUUGCCAAUCUUCACCCAUCUCCACCUCCUUCCCGUAACGUUAGAUUGGGGCAACCAUAUGCGUAGAUCCUGUAUAGGCGCUGCCAAAACAUAGUCUGGUAGUGCUCUCAACAACGGGCACCAACGAAUUGUCAACUGUCGAAGUUGUGGCAUAAUGGAUAUUAUUGAAGUUGUGUUGGCAUCUUCUUCUCCCACUCUCCUUUGAAUUCCAUCCCACUCUUCUACUUCUUCGAGAUCCCAAAUCUCAAGUUUUUUAAUUUGGGGAAAGCAGUGACCCUUGCAAUUUCUCCUUCCUUAAUACUGGCAUUCUCAUCUUUUUCUAUACCUAAAAAUCCACCAUCCAGCCUUCUCACCUUCAAAAGUACCAGGUGUUCAAGGUUGGGCAAUCUUCCCAACGGAGGCAAGAACUCCACGUUUUCACAAUAACGGAGUGUCAGCACCUGUAAUCUGGUCAAUGUCAUCAUCCAAUUUGGCAAUUCCAACCCUCCGUAACAAUAUAUGCUUAGAUCUUCCAAGUCUGACGGAGGCUGCAAAGCUUCAAUUAAAGAGCCUUCAUGCUCUGGCAACACUGUUUUCUCUCCGAAGAAAUUCAAUACCAAACGAAACAGGCGCUUCUUAUUCUUGAGUUGUGCUUCUGCAGCGUCACUCGCAUCUUCUUUACCUCCUCCUAGAUUCCGUAUCUGAAGACUCCCUCCAAUGUGAUUUAAGUUUUUUAAUUCUCUUAGAUUAGCUGCUUUACUUUCAUUCUCACCACCACCACACACAGUAAACACAUCUAAUGUACCAACAGGUGUGUGGCUCAAGUGGUGAAGGGGGCAGCUCUCCUUUCAUCGAACCCAGGUUCGAAUCCCAGUGGGAGUGGGGCUGGAGAGUUUGCUCUCUUCCUAUUUCUCUUGGGUCCUCCCUGUGCGGUAUCCCUGUCACCCCCGCGGUGUCUUACCUGCUCACUAGGGCUUGCAGGAUGUUCAGUGGGCCGUGGGAUUAGUCGUGGUGCGCGUAAGCUGGCCCGGACACCCACGUUAUCAAAAAAAAAAAAAAAAAAAAAAAAACACAUCUAAUGUUUAGUUAUAUAAUUGAUCAUCGUGGCUACAAAAUGAAGUGGAACUAAUAAUUAAUGGAGUGGAAUACUAAAUAAAAUGAAUUGCUAUGUGUAUUCUAUAAUUUAGUUAUAUAAUAUAGGCAGAUAUGUACAAAUUAGUCAUUUCAACUUAUCAAUAAAGAAAUUAUAAUAGAUUUUCACCGUGGUAUGAUCGCAAUAAAUAAAAUAAAAUAGAUAUAUCUCACAGCAUUAAUAAUUUUUUAGUUUUUGUUAAACAAUGUCAACAUAUAUAUAUAUAUUAUACAUACACUCAUUUCUUUAAAAAUAAUUAUAAUAAAAUUAAUUAGUUAUUUAUUAUAAAAACCUGACCUAUGAGUUAUGUCUAAGCUGUUAAAAAUAGUAAAAAUAAAAUAAUUUGAAAAUAGAAUUAUUAAUUAAUUUAUAUCAAGUUGUUUUAUUUAUUAAAUUAAAAAAUCCAAGUUUUAUAUCACCUAGAUUACUUAUGUUGGAUUUAAUCCAUAAAAUUGAUGGGUAUCAUCUCUUAUAUAUGAAUCGAUGGGUAUCAAGUUACAUGCCAUCUUGCAAAUUAGAAUAAUAGACCACUCGACUGGCUCCAAAAUCAAACCAUCUCCACCUCAUUCAACACGAUUUAAAAUAAUCAACACCACCUUUUUAUACAAUGUGGGAUUGAUGAGGAUAUAAAUCUACAGACUCCAACAUCCAAAGUCUCAAUCUUAGAGUUCUUAUCUGGUAUAGUAACGCCUCAUUGGCAAUAACCCAAAUCACUAAACCCUAAAUCACUAAUAAAAAUUACAAAUUUACACCGAAUUUGAACAAAUUUCUACCAGCCGAUGUCACUAAACUCAAAUUACUCCUAAAAAUCUCAAUAUAAACCCAUUAACUACUAGACCAACAACUCAUUGGCUAGAAUCCACGUUGCUUUUCCACAACAAUCAUCAGCUUCUUCAAUUAGGAUGCUACAAGCCCUUGUCUAUAUACUAGCUUAAAUUGCAACAACCUUUGAUUCCGAGAGAAGUUUGGCCUGAUCCAACGGUAGUCAAUGCGUGCUCAAUCUGUACUAGCUUUCUGGUAGGACUGAAAGUAGUGAGAGAAAAGGAGUACUGGCUAUCACCCAUGGUUUAUUGCUUGAAGACGCAGAGAGGAAAAACUGCGAAUGCGAGCGUGUGGGAGAGAAAGGCAAGGAUAUUUACUUGGGGUUUGAACUUUGCUUUUCUUGUUGGAGAAGGAGGAGUUUUCUUACGAGGGCUUUUACAAUGGAGUAUUUUGGGCUUUUAUGACGGCAGGUUGGUUCUCUUUACAUUGAGCUCAAUGAAGGCUUUAAUUUUUUAAACUUAACUUUAUCCGGGUCAGUUCACGGGAGAAGUUUAAUUUUUUUUUUUUUAAGAAAAUAAAAUAACAUUAUUUUUAGUACUUUUUUAAAAUGAUAUUUUACCUGAGUCCACAGGCGAUGUAUAAAGUUUUUUUUAUUUAAAAUAAUAUUUUUUUUUUAUUUUAAUAUUUACUUACUAUUUGUAUACUAAAACAGUAAAACAUGUGAGAUUUUCACUUUAUAUUUGUUACUGUGCAAAAUUUUAUUUUUUAGUUUAGUCCUCAAACUUUAUUUUUGAACUAUCAAGUCCUAUUUAAAAAACAAUUGAUUUUAAAUUCUGAUAAAAAAUUUGGAUUGGAAGAGAGGAACUGAAAUGAAAAACACGAUAGAUAUGGGUAACGCACCUUAAAUUUUUAAAACAUUCUCUUUGGUCUUCCAACUUAAACAAUCACACAAAUUAUAUAAUUUUGGUACCUCAAAAUUGUUCCAAUUCCAUUUUGGUGCGAAGAUUUAUUUUUGUUAUUUUCUAGUUCCUAAUUAAGAGAGGAGAGAAAGAAAGGGGUCACUAGAUUCCAAUAAUAAAAAGAGAAACUUGUCGUUGACACCAACUUAAACCACUAAAAUAAGGGAUCUUUAUGUCAAAUUAUUAGGGGAGUUCCUAUUAGAUGUUUUUGUAACUUAAAAGUUCAUGAAAAAAAGGAUCUAAACUCGGGUUAAUUUUUUUUAUUUUAGACUGUGUUUGGUUUUUUAGGCAGUUUUUUGGAUCUAGUAUGGUUUCCCGAUCCAAGUACCUAGGGUCUGGCAUAGUUGCUAUAAAAAUAUAACUUUAAAGAAUAUAAUUAAAAACAAAUAAAGUGACGUGAUUAGUUAAAAACUAAAAAUAAUAAUAAAAAAAAAGACUUAACCUCAUUUUUUUGUUGUUCAGAAGGCUUCUUUUAAAUAAUAUUAAUUUUUUUUAUGAGUUUAAUUUUCAGAGAGGUUUUCUAGUGUAUUUAUGGUUUUGUUUGUCUUUUAUAUAAAUAAAUUAUAUUUUGAAAAUAACAAAAUAUUUAUUUUCAGAUAAUAUUUUUAAUAUGUAGUCUUCGUAGUGAUUGAUGAUGCCAAUUGUAAAUGAAUGGAGGAGGAAGCAUCAAGAUCGUUAGCUUGUUUGAAGGCAGAUAGACCUUUGAUCAUUAGAUGAUGCCUCUAAACGAGGCUCCAUAUUAUAAAGGCAUAACAAAGAGAGGAUGAGAGAAAUAAUUAUAGACCAGUUAGGUGGUUUGUGCUACAUCGCGGGCUCACCUUUAAUUUCUAAAAUAAAACUGGGUGAGUACCCAAGUCUAUUUAGGUCCUUUUCAAAUAGGAGCCAAGCAUAUUUGGGUUCUAUCGCGGCCAAGCCAGGUAGGACCUAAGGUUAUUUGGGUCAUGUACCUGGCAGGACCCAAGGUUAUUUUUGAGUCCUACAACUAAUAAUUUGUAUUUAAUUUUUAAAUAAAACUAAAUGUAAAAUUAAGUAUAAUUUGAUAAAAUUAUUAUUACAAUACAUUUGGUAAAAUUAAUAAAUGAUAUAACAUUUUCUUUCAAAUUCAUAAAUUAUUUUAUUAAUAAUAUUAAUUACAAUAAAAUAUACUCUUAUAAAUUUUAAUAAAAAUAAUAAUAUUUAUAAUACAACUGAUAAAAUUUUUAGUAUUAAUAUUAUUAAUUAAUAUAAACAUAAUAUUAUUUAUAACACCAAAAAUAAUAAUAUUUUUGAGAUUAAUACUAUAAAUUAGACUAAAAAAUAAUAGUAAUAAAACAAAUAAUAAUAUUUUUAAUACUAAUACUCUUAAUAUUAAUUAUACUAAAAAAAACUAUUAAUAAAAAAAAUAAUAUUUCUAAUACUAAUAUUUGGAAUUAUACUAAAAGUAUGUACGGGCAGCCCAAGCGUUAAGUGGCGCUUGAACUGCACUCAAGAAAAAGCAUAUUAUUUUAAAAUAUUAUUUGUCCACUAAUUGCUAAUAUAAAUACACUUUUAAAACUAAUAUAAAGUCACCCAGAGUCAAUUUGAUAGCUGCUUGCAUAAAAUCUCAUUGAAUGUGGCCAAUGUUUUUUAGAAUAAAGUGAAAUAAAAAGUUAUUUCAAAACAUAACCACAGUAGUUUUUAAUUAUUGGUCUAGAAACUUUAGUAUAUCUCAUAAAAUCCAUGAGUUUUGGAUGAAAUAAAAUCAAUUCUAAAAUCAAACUCCGAUUGAAGCUUCAACUGCAUUUGUGAGCUAGAAAAUUUAACUUAUUAAGUUAGGUUUGUUUUUGCAUUUUAAAAGCGUUUUUAAAAAUUUUAAAUUUAUUUUAUUUUUUUCUUUGCUUUAAAUUAUUUUUUUUUUGUGUUUUUAGAUCAUUUUGAUGCGCGAAUAUCAAAAAUAAUUUUUAAAAAAUAAAAAAAAUAUUAUUUUGAUAUAUUUCUAAGUAAAAAUCAUUUUAAAAAGUAAUCACAACAAUAUUUUCACACAAUCUCUUCAAAACUUGUGCUUUUUAAAACAUGCAUUCAAACGCAAAGAAAGCAUAUAAAACACAUCAAAGUUGCAAAAGUAUGUAGUUUUAAUUAUUAGCAAAAGGGUUUAAAUACCCUAAAUAUCCGUAAAUAACUAGAAAACAAUUAAUAAAAAAAUAAUAAAACUAAAAUCCAAAAUUUUCAAGGAGAAAAUCUAAAAUAUGGUCUGAAAUUUCAAAGGCAGCUUUUUUAGAGUGGCAUUUGGAGAAUUUAAGUGAGGAAUAAGCUUCACGUGAGCGAGAUAAUAUCAUCUUAGAUUAAUUUUUUUAACAUGUAAAAUUUAAGUCUAAUUCAAUAAUUAAAUAAAAAAAAUUACCUCUUCCUGCCUGUCUUAACUAUUCUUUACAUAUGAACAUAUGAAUUACAUAUUAUUUUAUGUUGAGAGAGAGAAAGAGAGAGAGAGAGAGAGAGAGAGAGGAUGUGAGAGAGAGAGAGGGGUGUAUAUAUAUAUCACAGCUGCAUUUGAUAGAAUAAAUGGUAAGCAGGAAAUACAAUCCAAAGUCAACAUUAUACAGAUAUUUGACUCACAAUAAAUCAUCCAUACUCUUAUAAAAAAUAAAGAUGGGUAAACUCUUAAUUAGGCCUUGCUGCUGAAUUUUGUUGUUGAUUUGUAAUUUAAUUAUUGUUGAAGAUUUUUUGUGUUGGCAACCCAAACUAUCAUUGUGUUGGGUUUGGAUAACUUUAUUUGGAUUUAAUCUCCAAAAUCGAUGGGUAUCAUCACUUAUAGAUGAAUGGUUUAGCUUCUCUCAUUUUUUUGGAUUUAAUCCACUGAAACUGAGGUUUAAGAAUUUCUUGGAUUUAAUCCACUGAAACAGUUGCUUGAUCAAGAUCAUUGGCUUGUUUGAAGGCAGAUAAAGGCUUAAAAAAGAAGAAGCAAAUAUCAUCUUAGUUGAAAUUUCAAAGGCAAUUUUUUAGAGUAAAGAGGAAAUAAUUAAUACACUCAAAGCAGGUUCUAAAGAGUUCUGUCUUUCUCACCAAACAUGCAAAUAAAUCUUUGGGAUGUGAGAAAUCUUUUGCCAAUCUUCACCCAUCUCCUCCUUCCUACAGCUGUAACGUUUCCUUAGAAUGGGGCAACCCCUUAUCCCCAAUGCCUGCAGAGGCGCUGCCAAAACAUAGUCUGGUAGUGCUCUCAACAAUUGGCAAUAUUCAAUUCCCAAGUACUGAAGUUGUGGCAUAAUGGAUAUUAUUGAAGUUGUGUUGGCAUCUUCUUCUCCCACUCUCCUUUCCUUCCCACUCUUCUACUUCUCCGAGACCGUCCAUCCAAAGUUUUUUUAAUUUGGGGAAAGCAGUGACCCUUGCAAUUUCUCCUUCAUUAAUACUGGCCUUCUCAUCUUUUUCUAUACCUAAAAAUCCAGCAUCCAACCUUCUCACCUUCAUUGAGCUCAAUACCAGGCUUUCAAGGUUGGGCAAUCUUCCCAACGGAGGCAAGACCUCCACGUUUUCACAAUCACGGAGUGUAAGCUUCUGUAAUCUGGUUAAUGUCAUCAUCCAAUUUGGCAAAUCCAACCCUCCGUAGCUAUACAUGGUUAGAUUUUCCAAGUCUGACGGAGGCUGUAAAACUUCAAGUAAAAUGUCGUUCUCCCGGUUGAAGUCAAAAUCCAAUUGCAAACAAAGCAGGCGCUUCUUAUUCUUGAGUUGUGCUUCUGCAGCGUCACUCGCAUCUUCUUUACCUCCUCCUAGAUUCCGUAUACGAAGACUCCCUCCAAUGUGAUUUAAGUCUUUUAAUUCUCUUAGAUUAGCUGCUUUACUUUCAUUCUCACCACCACCACACACAGUAACACAUCUAAUGUUUGAAGACAUGUUAUCCUCUCUACUCCCUUUGGUAUGAAGGCCACACCUGAAAGAACAACCCGGAGAUGCCUCAAUUUGAUAAGUUUUCCAAUCGCAUUAGGCAAUUCCUUGAGAGAAGCACACAGAGUAACGUCUAGGGAUUGCAGAUUGCAUAAAUCACACAUGGUUUCUGGCAGGGACUCCAACUGAUAACAAGAUGCCACAUUGAGGUGUCUCAAAUGUAUCAAAUUCCCUACCUCGUUUGGUAUUUCUUUGAUUGAAGACCUUGUCAAAUUCAAUGACCUGAUGCAUGUCAACUGCUUGAACAAAUCAGGCAGUGCAACUCCAAGCGAAGGGUCUCUAGUGUCCAUCAAGAGGCUGCGAAGACCUUUUGCUUUGUGAAUGGACUUGGGAAACGAGCUCUCCUCUGACAGCAUCAUGCUUAAAUGACGAACCCUUUCAAUUGAAGUCUCCACUGUUGCUUUUCCAAGUUUACUGGCAUCCACUGUUAGACAUUCAUUUUUUGUCAUAUAUUGGGAAAAAUCAUGCACUAUAUCAUGCAUCUUGAAUUUCAUUCCUUCACACCAAUCCAUCUCAAAAUCUUGGAAGAAAGAACGCGCUGCUAAGACUUGAAAGUACUGCUCUCCUACACCCGAAGUCUCCUUGAGGUAACCUUGAGCUAUCCACAUCUUCACCAAUUCAUAUUUUCCCAUCUUGUAGUCUUUUGGAAACAUGGCACAAUACAAGAAACAUCGUCUUACCACAGAAGGUAAAUCGUAGUAACUCAAAAGCAAAGGUAUAAAUAUGCGUCUUUCAACCUGAUCUCUAUCAACCUCAUCUAGCCUCCACAGUUCGCUAGAUAAAACACGUUCCCACUCUUCUCUUGUUAUUUUAGACUGCAUUAGACCGCCUAAUACCUUGGCAGCUAGAGGGAAGCCCUUGCACUUGUUUGCAAUUUUAUCUCCGAUAUCUGUCAAUCUUUCGCACUCAUCUUCGCUUCUUUCCUGGAAUGCCACAUGAUUGAAUAUUGAACUGCAUAUCUCAUCGGACAAUUUCUCAAUGUUGAUCCGGUGGUCAGUUCCCAUCAUCGUUGCCACAGCGUCCUUACGAGUGGUCACUAGAAUUCUGCUUCCUCGUGCACAGCCUGUGAGAGAUGGUUUCAGUUGUUCCCAUUGUCCAUGAUUUUCUGUCCAGACAUCAUCAAGGACAAGAAGGAACCUCUUUCCCUUAAUGGAUUCAGAAACCCUUCGCAAAAGGGAUUGCAAUCCUACCAAAUCAGAUGCCCUCCCUUCAAGCUCCUCAAGGAUACCUUUGGCUAUUCUAACCUCAUCAAAUGGUUCUGAAACACACACCCAUAUCUUUUUCUCAAAAUGAGCCGUAACCUCAGCAUCAUUAAAAGCUAGUUGGGCGAGAGUUGUUUUUCCAAUUCCGCCCAGCCCUACUACAGAGAUGACAUCCACGUCCCGUGCUUCUUGACUACUUUCAGCCAGCAACUUGCUUACAACAUUUCUCUUUUCACCAUCUCGACCAAUCACGCUUGAUUCAUCAAACAAAGGAGGUAGUUGUUAGUCGCUGGAGUUCAUCAGUGGCUUUGUACAGAUCAAAGCCAUACUUAGCUCUCUGUUUGGCAAUGUCAUCCACUUUUUCACAAACUUCUUUGAUCUUCAGGGCAAUGCCGCGACGUCGAACCACUUGAUUGAAACAAAAGCAAGGAGAUCCCAGGAAGGAACACCGUAUCUUCUGUCGGCUGUGAGUAUUUUCUUCAGCUUCCUCCAUUUUCCAUCUAAGAAUUGCAGUGCUCCAUUCAUCUAGCACGUCAUUCAUAUCAUAACAUGCAUCUUUGAGCUUGUCUACCCAAUAUCUUACAGCCUUAUCCUUAACUUGUUUUCUAUCUGCAUCUUCAAGGACAGACUGGAUAUCAAGGAGAUUGCUUUUCAGCCUGUCGACUUGUUUCUUCACACCCACUACUAGGUUCACCUCUUCUUGUACCUAUUAGUGUACAAAAGAUAAGGAAGUUCAGGCAGAGGAAACAUUUCUAUGAUUUCACUGCAAAUUUUUAAUUUUAAUUUUUUGUAAUUAAUAGAUUAAUAAUUUUUUUUAAUCUUUUUUUCGCAGUAGCUGACACGUACAGUGAAAUGGAUUUGCUAUAUUAAAAUAUAUAUUAAAAUCCUAUAUAUUAAAGAUAAUAAUAUUUCUUUUUAUCAUCAUCAUGAUGAUAUCUGCCUGCACUCUGCUACUAUACAAGAAGGAAGAAACCUAUAUAUAACAUAAGCUUGUUGGAUCAAAGAAACAUAGAGAAUGAAAGGAUCUGUAUUUGUUGGUAUUUGUAAAGUCUAUAGUUUUAAAGUGAAAAAUAUUCUUCCUUCAUAACACUCACUAAUUAUUUUAACAUUUGAUUGAUUAUUUUACAGUUUAGUGAGAGGAUCGACAACUACUACUCCUUUUUCCUUCUAAGGAUAUUUGUUUUAGAUUAUUUCCGGAAAUAUGAAAAACAAUAAAACAAUAAAAAGAAAUUUCUUUAAUAAAAUCCAAAUCUAGAUCUGAGGAUUUGAUAUUUUAUUUUAUUUUUCUAAUAAAGGAAGAAAAAGAGACUUCAUUUUUAUAUUUCUUAUUCAUGUAAGGGUUAAUUAGAUCGUUGCAAAUUUUACAGUUAAGCAGUAGUUUGCUGAUUGAAAUGACUGUAAAUGGAUCCCAAUUGGAAACUGUCAUAAUUGAACUGCGAGCUCCGUUUUAUGUUUCUUCAGAACAUCAGUUUCCAUCGUGAUGCCUUCUUCCUUCAUCAAAAAGUGGGCAAAAUCAUAGGAGUAUGUGUCGCCUCUUCAACUUUAAAGAGUCCUCCUUCUUUUCUUGAAAAUCCUGGAAAAAAAGCUAAGAUUUUGAAGUACUCCUUACCAGCCAGCUCCAUUUGAUCUGUAUGGAAACGGACAGCUCUCCAUCAAUCAGCAACGGAGGGGUAGGGAGGUGAAGAAGAGAGGGAAUAGAUGAAAUCCCUAAUAGUAGCUUGGUGUUUUUUGUUCCAAUGACCAAACCAGAUAAUGUACGAGUUGACAGGUGCAGCCAGAACAGGCCCCUAGAAAAGCAACUGAAGGUCUACUACAUCAGAUGACCCUUCAUAGUUCUUGGCCCGGUUGAAUAGGUCGUCUAGACAAACAAAACAGAGAGAGCAAGAGUACAUUGUGUAGCAUAAGCUUAUUAUGCAUUUAAGUCUUUAGACUUUUUUUAUUAUUAUUAUUAACGUAGGUGUCCAGGUCAGCUUCCGCGCACCUUGAUUAAUCUCACGGGCACAUUGUCAGAAAUUACAGCAAGAAAUUCUGUAAUUAUUGUAAGAAAGAAGGGCAUGUAAUCAAGGAAUGUCGUCUGCGACCACAAAAUCGACAAGGAUUUACUGUGCAGUCGAAAUUGGGGGCUGCUUUUAUGGCCGCCGAAGCCGUGUCCUCACCAUCGACACUGGAAUCUUCAUCGUCGGUGAGCUCUUCGUCGAGCACUCUCACUCCCGAGAUGGUGCAGUAGAUGAUAAUAUCUACCUUCUCUGCACUCGGGAUUUCUGGUAAGAAAAAUAAACUUAACUUUCCCUUAGAUUCAGCACAUAAUAAACAAUGGUUAAUGGAUUUGGCAUCGUCUAAUCACAUGACCAACAGUGAAAAUGGGUUGUGUAAUGUGCUAAAAUACAUGGGUAAUUAGCAUAUACAGGUAGCAAAUGGUGAUAAUCUGCCAAUUUUGUCGAUUGGUAAUUUGGGGUCUUACUUCAAUAAUAUUUUUGUGUCACCAAAAUUAUCAACAAGUUUACUCUCUGUUGGUCAAAUGGUAGAAAAUAACUGUGAAAUUCACUUUGAUCAUCAUGGUUGUUGUGUGCAGGAUCAAGUGUCGGGGGAAGGUAAUCGCGAAGGGGCCUAAAGUGGGACGUUUAUUUCCAAUACAAUUUUCUAUUCCUAGUAUUAAUUCUUGUGCUUAUUCUACUCUCAUUCAUAAUCCUCAUUUUUGGCAUAAGAAAUUAGGGCAUUCUAAUUCUAAUGUAUUGACUUAUCUUAUGAAACAUGGAUAUUUGGGGAAUAUAAACUCUUUUUCAACAGAAUUUUUGGAUUGUAGUUCUUGCAAAUUGGGUAAAAGCAAAGCAUUAUCAUUCCCUUCACAUGGUAGUUGUGCUUCUAAAUGUUUUGAAAUUAUUCAUACUGAUGUAUGGGGCAUAAGCCCUGUUAUCUCUCAUGCUAAGUAUAAAUAUUUUGUCACGUUUGUUGCUACCUAAUUUUUGAUAAAUUUUCAGAAAAAUCAAAAAUAGCAAAAAAAACAAAGAAAAACCCAAAAAUAUAUUUUUGAUGUAUUUGCAUCGUUUUUAGCAUUUUCAAUGCCAUCUCAAAAGAAUUUAAAUUUUUAAAGGAAUUUUGGAACGCGUUCAACUUUUAACGCGUAAAAUUUUAUGAUCACUGAUUUUUAUUUUUGAGUUGACGGUGAUAUUGCUCGCUUUCGAAAACACAAAAAAAGAGAGAAAAUCAAAAUUUAAGAAAAAAAAGAGGAAAAGUUGAGGGACCAUUGUGAUUUUGGCCAUGCCACAUUUCUCCUAUAAAUACUAAGCUACAGUAAUGAACCAAGGGGCGAAAAAUAGACACAGGGAGAAAAAUGGUUUCACGGGGGAGAAAUUUACAUGGGGGGAAAGGCAAGUAGAAAAAAACCCUAAAGCCAAAAAAAAAAACCUAGAAACUAAAAAAACCCUUUCUUCCCCGGCAGCCGCCCUUGGCCUUUGAAAAAAACCUAGAACUAAUGAUUUUCUUCCUUAGCCACAACGCUGACCUCUCUUUUUGAAAAAGGGAGGAACAGACCGCCGCUGCAGAGUCUUUGAAAGGAAAAAGUCACCUGGCUAGGCGUUUCAAACAGCCCCGCCUCUCCUCUCUCCUUUUCUUCUCCCGAAACUAGCCAAAACUGACCCUCUCACUCUCAGCACAAAGCAGCCGCCCCCUUUACCCCCAUCUUCUUCUCCCUCAACCGACAGAUCUCACCCUCCAAUAGCAACCCCUCUUGCACGAAAAAACCCAGAGAAACCGUCCCUAAGCUCUCCAUUUUCCCUGCAGGAGGAGAGAAACCCACCGGACACAAGCCUUCUCCAGGUCUCCCCCGGAGCCGCCGCCCCCCAUCGUCUUGGAUUUGUUUCUCUCCCGAGACCAGCCGGCCACUCAUUUUUUCCCUUGGCUUGCUAAACAAAGCGGAGAAACUGGAGAGCAUCAGACUGACCUCUCUCUCCCUCGGCCGACCACCAUCAACCGGUCAACAGCAGCAUCUUCCCUUCUCCUGCAGCUCGUUACAGAGACAAUGAGAAGGGAGGCCAGAGGAUAGUGAAGAAGGGGCAGAAAACCGAAGCUUGGAUGGGCGCCGAUCUCGCAACCAUGGCAGCGGUGGACAACACCACCGUUGCAGAAACGAAAUGGGAGGAAGGGAAGUUGCUGAUCCAGCCAUCCACACGCCUGGUCUGUGGGCGGCGCGUGUAACGCCCAGCUUCAGAUUCGGCAGAUUUGAAGAAAAGAGAGGAGAAGCAGAUCCGAAAACAGUGAUUGAAAAAUAACUAAAAUCAGCUGGCUUUUUGUGCUUUGAUUUUUCUUUGCAGGUCACCACCGGUGGAAGAGGGGAUGAGGCCGUUGAAGACCCCCUGUGUUGUGUGGAUUUUUGCGGCGGCGCGUGGAUGCACGCGCCGCUACUGUUCAGGCAGCUCCAAAAAUUGUUUUCCUGAAUUUUUGGGACUAUUCUGUAAUUUUCAAUUAUGUGAUGUAAUUUUUGUUUAGUUUUGAAUUUUUUAUUUGUAUGUUGUGAAUUUGAAUGUAACAAAAAAAACAAAAAAAAAAGAAAGAAGAGAAAGGAAAAGAAAAAUAAAUAAUAUAAAGAAAGUUGUGUGUGUGUUUGUUUUUUUAUUUAUGUUAUUGAAUUAUAAAAAUAAAAAAAGGACAAAAAGAAUUAUUUGUUUAAUUUGAAUAUGGUUAAAUAUUUAAGGACAAAUAAAAUUAUGUUAUAUUUUCUAUGAAAGUGUAAGAACAUGUUUUUACACGUAUUCAGGGAUUUAAUAAUUGAUUUAUUAAAGUCUUAGAAUUUGAUUAAUAUUUUAAAUUUUCAAAUCAUAUCAAACCACGAAGCAGCUUAGCUCAGGUAGGGUGCUGUAGGGGUACUAAUACCUUUUCUAGCCACAAUCAGUCCCUUACCCUAGAAUCUCUGACCACGACCAGUAAAUCAUGGUUUUCUAGUAACCCUCUAUUAAAUACUAGGUGGCGACUCUCAAAGAACCAAUCAAGCAAAGACAACGAAAAAUUGCCAAAUCACCGCGUGGGGGACGUGCGACAAUGUUUAUUGAUGAUUUCAGUCGUUUCACUUGGAUAUAUUUUCUUCGAUCUAAGACUGAUUUAUUCUUAACAUUUCAGGCUUUCGUUGUAUUUAUUGAAAAUCAAUUUUCUACUCAUAUUAAAAUACUUUGUUCUGACUCCGGGGGGGAAUAUGUGUCCAAAGAACUUCAGGAAUAUCUCAAAAACAAAGGGAUUCUCUCUCAAAGAUCUUGUCCUUACAUUCCUUAACAAAAUGGAGUUGCUGAGCGUAAGAAUCCUCAUCUUUUAGAUGUUCGCACCUUAUUAAUUGAUUCUUUGGUACCUACUCGAUUUUGGGUAGAAGCACUGUCCACAGUCGUUCAUCUAAUUAAUUGUUUGCCUUCACAAGUACUAAACUUUGCAUCUCCAUACUCUAUUUUAUUUGGUGUUAUUCCUAAGUAUGAUUCUCUCCGUGUUUUUGGGUGUGUUUGUUUUGUUCACUUACCAUCUACUGAACGUAAUAAACUUUUAGCCCAAGCUGCUCGUUGUGCUUUUCUAGGAUACAAUAAUUUUCAUAAAGGAUUUGUGUGUUAUGAUGCAAAUGCUCAUAAAAUUCAUCUCUUGAAAUGUAAUUUUUUUUUUAAAUCAGAAUUUUUUCCCUUCUUAUCCCUCUACAAAAUCCACUCCUAUCCAACUUCCCACAUUUGAUGAUCAUAGUCCAUCUUAUAUCUUUGAAUGUUUUAAGCCAGGAAUUGUAUAUCAAAGACGUCAUCCACCAUCCAUUUUGCCCCUUCCGGACACGAAACCGGCAUCUGAUCAUUCCCCUCAACUAAGACGAUCAACUCGAGUUUCACGUGCCCCAAACAGGUAUGGAUACUAUCAGCAACUACUAUUGAUAGUACUUUUGUGCCUAAGACUUAUGCCCAGGCUUCUACCCAAGACUGUUGGCAACAGGCCAUGAAAGAGGAACUUCAGGCUCUUCAGGAUAAUCACACAUGAGAUAUUGUUUCUUGUCCUACCGGAAUUAAACCUAUUGGCUGCAAAUGGCUAUACGAAAUUAAAGCACGGUUGGUGGCUCUUGGAAAUUGUCAGGCAUAUGGUAUUAAUUAUGAGGAGACAUUUGCACCUGUGGCUAAAAUGACUACCAUACGAACCAUUAUGACAAUUGUUGCUUCCAAAAGAUGGCCACUUCAUCAAAUGGAUGUAAAAAAUGCAUUUUUACAUAGAGACUUGAAAGAGAAUAUUUAUAUGACUCCUCCUUCUGGUAUGUUUACUCACUCAUCCGAUAAAGUCUGCUGGUUGAAACGGUCCCUGUAUGGUCUAAAACAGGCACCCCGGGCAUGGUUUGAAAAAUUUCGCACUACUCUUUAGAAACUUAAAUUUAUUCAGAGCCAAUAUGAUUCCUCUAUGUUUCUUCAGCAAACUACUACUGGUAUUGUUGCUCUUCUGGUAUAUGUUGAUGAUAUUAUCAUUACAGGAUCCGACAUUCCACUCAUUGAGGAUUUACAACAUUCUCUUAACAGUGAAUUUCAUAUGAAGGAUCUGGAACACCUUCACUAUUUCCUUGGUCUACCGGUGCACUCUAUGUCCAGUAGGAUUUCUCUACAUCAGCACAAAUACACCCAAGAGAUUCUUCUUUUGGGCGUUCUUGAAUCAGGGAAUAUCGUUCUUACACCUCUCGAGAUUAAUUUAAAACUUUGUCAUAAUGAUGGUGACCUGUUACCUGAUCCCUCCAUAUACAAGCAGUUGGUGGGCAGUUUGAAUUAUCUAACCAUUACUCGGCCAAAUAUUUCUUUUGUAGUACAACAAGUCAGUCAAUUUUUACAGGCUCCUCGUCAACCUCAUUUAGCUGUUGUCCGAAGAAUUCUUCGCUAUCUUAAAGUCACAUCUGGGCGAGGAUAAUUUUUUCCUGCUGAUAAUUCAUUACAAUUAACAAGUUAUAGUGAUGCAGAUUGGGCAGGGUGCGUGGAUACACGUCGGUCUGUUACUGGGUGGUGUAAGUUUCUUGGAAAUGCUUUGAUUUCAUGGAAAAGCAAAAAGCAAGACCGAAUCUCAAAAUCUUCCAUAGAAUCUGAGUAUCGAGCUAUGUCCUCCGCAUGUUCUGAAAUUGUGUGGCUUCAGGGUUUGCUACGUGAACUUGGUUUUCCUCAGCACACUCCUACACCUCUUCAUGCUGAUAACACAAGUGCUAUUUAGAUUGCUACUAAUCAUGUGUUUCAUGAACGCACCAAACAUAUUGAAGUUGAUUGUCACUACAUUCGUGAAGCUUUUGAUCAUAAUAUUCUUACACUACCUUAUAUUUCCACCGAGCAUCAGACAACUGAUGUCUUUACGAAGGCCUUGUCUCGGCCUCGACAUCAACUCAUGAUAGACAAAUUGAUGCUUCUUGAUCGGCUAGCAUCAAUUUGAGAGGGGAUGUCAUUGUAUAUUAUGGCAAGAAUAUCAAUACUAUAUGGCAACCAAAUUGUAACAGAAUAUCUUGUAUUUAUUAUAGACUACAAAUCAGGGAUUAGAGACAGUAAAUUAGUGAUUAUUACAUGUAUUUAGAGGAUUGAAUUCCUCCUUCUGAAGUCAUUAAUUGAGAGAACAAUUUUACAUUGAAAUUUGAUAUUUGUGACAUGUGACUUGGUGAGAUUCUUCAUUUAUUAUUAUUUCCUUGUGGUGGACACAAUGGUUUACGUAGAUGAACUGAAUUCUUGCAUGACAACAACAAAAUAAGUGUGAUUCAGCACUGUCAAGAAAAAGGUAGAGCAGAGCAACCCUUUUUGACGGAGGCUAAUAAGUUGCAAAAGUUAGUAAGAAGUGGCUCAUUGAGCAACCAAUUAGCCAAGAUGUCUUAUUUCAAACCCUCGUACAGAGGAAUGCCGUAUUUUUAUUUUUCUAAGGAACUGCAUUUUUGUCCCCCUCUUCUCCUUCUUUUUUCCUGUUGAAACAGCAACAGGGUACAUCUACUCCAUGUCAAAGUCUAGUCUAUAACCAGACCAGUAAAGAACAUUGACUUACAAGGAGUUCCAUUGAAGUUUCGAUUAUGAGCAGGCAUGCUUCUAUCCCAAUUUACCACUCUGGGUCAGAUUUCACACUUAUCAGAGCACUGUGAUGACAACAGCAGAAACUAUCUAAUUUCCCACCAAACAUAAAGAGAGCUUUGAAUCUACACACCCGCCAGUUAUAAUCAUUCAAGACAGAUAUGUUAGCUAUAGUUAAGGCCAGAGAGAAACACAAGCUAAAAAAAAAUGCACCUUCUAAUUACCGAGAAGCAUGCAGAAAAAAACCUGUAGACAACUCCAAUAUUGGGUGUCAGAUUCUGUAUUUUCUGAACCUGAAACAACAAGCAAUUAAAUACCAUCAACAACCAACUCAAGUUCUAUACUAUCUUGCAAGUUAUAUACCAUCAAUGAAAUAGUUUUUAUUUAAAGGGAUUAAAAUGACAUCUUUUUACCAAAAUUGUUUUUUCCAAAAAACAUUCAAUAAUAUUUAACCAAGUUUUACCCGAGUCCAUAUAAUUUGAAAGUAAUAAAUCAUAUCAAAUUUCUUUAAAUUAUUAAAUUGGAUCCUUAAUUUUCAAUUCGUCAAAUUAUUAAAUUGGAUCUUCAAUCUCUUUUAUAGGGGGUUUGGUGUCACUGCUUAACUUAAUUAUGAUACUAUAUAUAGUGACCAUUUGUGAUAAUUCUGUUGCAGAUUAAAAAUAUUUAGCGACAUUAAAAGUGUCGUUAAAUAUAUUUUGAAGAGCCAUUACAUGUUGUUUUUUGUUUUUUGUAGUGCAACGAUAGUAAAACAUUAUGUUAAUUUUAGCAACACACCGUGACCAAAUCCAAUGAAGAAACCUAAUAAUCAAAGAAAAUUAGAAAUUUUAAAAUUGAUAUUGGAUUUUUAAAGAUUCAGAUAUUAGGUUAACAUCACAUUUACUAUAACCUUUUAAAUAAAAAAUUAUCAUUGUUUAUGUUUUUCUAAAUUAUUUUAUGCUAUUAUAUUUUUAUUUAUAAUUUAUUUAAGAAUAGACACCGGUUUCUUAGAAUAAAAAACUUGUAAAUUUUUUUGUCAUCCCUAAAAACCAAAGAGUCCAUAGCUUGUCAUUUUAUGACACUAGCCUUGCUAUGUAUAUAUAAUCUCCACGGUUAUAAAAACCAAUAUCUAAAUAGAAGAUUUCAUUAAUUUUUUUACAUUAAUCCCUGAAGACAGUAGAUUUUGUAAUUUCUUGAAUUUUAAUAAAAACUUUGAUGUUAAUCCCUUAAGAUAGAAGAUUUCAUCACUUUUUAAGAUUUAAUGAAAAUUUUGAUGAUAUUCACUAAAAUAGAAGAUUUCAUCAUUUUUUUAAUUUAUAACAAAAUUUUGACGUUAUCUCUAAAAAGUUUUUGUUGUAUAGUAAAAUGGUUUUUAUACAGUAAAAUCCAGUUCCCAUACAGUAGUGUAUAACCUUUUCGGUUUUUAGUAUGGUUUGUUUCUUUGGCUGCUUUUCCAAGAUAAAGUCUUCAUCCGUGAUUUCUUGUUUCAGCAUGAUUUCUUUUCUCUUCAGCAAGCUAGAUGUAUGUUUUGUAAAAGAAGAUUUGAAACUUCAAGCCAUCUCUUCAUUCAUUGUGUUUUUGCCUGGAAGUUAUGAAUGAAAUUCCUAUUUUGGUGGGGGAAUUAGUGAUUCUUUCCCAAAUUCUAUUGAUGAUAUAAUCUACAAAUGAUGCAAGGAAAAUUUCAGAAUCUUUCAUGAUGACAACUUCUCUUUUCUUGUAUUGCAUGGAGUCUAUGGCUACAUUGAAAUGAUGUAAUCUUCAAUGAUGCUAUUCCAGAUCUUAAGGGUUGUUUUUACUUUAUCGAUCCUCCACAGGUUCUCCUUAUGGUUGAAGUUUGAUAGCACAACUUUUGCUUACACCGGUUUGGAUUUAGGGAUCAACUCUGAUGGGAUCUUUUUCGGGGAUAACAGAAGUUGACUUCUUGUUUUUAUCUAUUGUCUGGUCCCUGUUUUCUUCUUCCUGUUAUAGAGUAGAUACCGUGAUUUAGGGAUCAACUAAGGUUCACUGUUGGUUUCUAUGCAAGGCAAGAUUGAGAGUUAUGUGAAUAUAUGAGUUGGAAGGUUAGAGUAAAUGCUGGAUGGUAUUUUUUAUUUUUCCCUCUCAUUGGCGCUGCUCACCAAUAGCUCGGGUGCAUUUGAUGCUGAUGGAGAUGGAACCGAAGCUUAUAUAUUCAGCCACUUCACAUGCUUUUUUUCUUUUAACAGUCGAGUGUAUUAUAAGAAAAUGGCUAAAAAGAUAAUAGCCUAGCAUCCAGAAGUUCUAGCUGACCACAAAAAAAAAAAAAAAAAGCAAACAAGCUUUAGAGGUUUUGAAACAGGGGAAGGAAAACAGUGUGGGAAAAGGAAAAAAACAAUUGAAAUCAGCUCCUCCUUUUUACAAAACCAAUGCCAUCAUAGCUGUUAUGAACAUCCUCGCCAGCAGAGUCUGGAGAAUUGGUAUCAAGUCUCAGCCAUAAUGAGAAACUGCCGAAGAUCAAGGAAAAACAGCUUUGAAGGUUUGGAGCAGCCCUAUUAAAGAUGAUAUCUCCAUAGAAAACCAUUAGUAGUACAUAUCAUCAAUCGAUUUUGUGAAAACAUUGAUAAUACCCCACCGUGAAGGAAUUUCAUUCAUAGAUGCCAAGCAAAGUGGCAGUGGAUGAAGAGGUGACUUGAAGAUUCCAGGUUUUUAUUACAAAAAACACAUCUAGAAGCCACUUCAGAUGCUCAUGAUGAUAUUACAUGUUUCUUCUCUCUGAAUUCAUACAAUCUUUCUUUCAUACACUUCCAUAUUUUUCAGAAAAGAUUGAGGAUGAAGAUACACCAAAUUUAGAUUGCAUCAGAGGUUGCAGUCACUAUCUUUACACGGGGUUGGCUUUUUUUACUUGCUAAAGAUGGCUAACUGUAAUUAGAAUGUUUCUUCUUUUCAAAGUAAUAAAUCUCUGAGUCCUUACAUCUCUAGUUAAUUAUAACUACCUUACCGGUCAUAAUGCUCUUUUCUAUACCUGAUGAAUGAUAUUAUUUCUGAGAUUUUUGAACAUGUAAUGACGGAAGCCUGCGGUGGAUUGGUUCCCUUUGUUACGUUACUGGAGUCGCAAUGUUUCGAGGUAUCUGACCAAAUUAAUUCUCUUGCUUUUUGCAGCAAAUCUGUAUCUCUUGCUACUUGCUAGAGGCGUACUCCCAGGCUACCACUGUUUUGGUGUUGCCUCUCUUACCAUUGUUAUUAGGUUGAAUUAAUUAAAUACCAGAAGAUUUCUGGAUGUGUAAUGACUGUAUGAUUAAACUUACCAGUGCACUGUCAAGGCUGUGGCGCAUGAACUUCAUUCGCGGGCGUGCGUCACCACUGUUCCACCGUGUGCCGUCGCAGCCUUCACCAAUUCCAGUAGCUCCAGUUUUUUUCUCCAUUGCCUCCAUUGAAGGUCCAAUUUUCGAGCUCACAAAACAUGACAUCUUGAGUUUAUUUUUCACGAAUUAUGUUUGUGUUUUGACAAAUCCAACAAUUAUGAUUUGAUUUAGUUGUUUCUAGUUAUGGGACACAAUGUUGUGUUUUUUUAUUAAAAAAAAGAAGAAAAGAAAACAGAGAGAAUGCUAAAAAGAAAGUCACAGCUGCAUGUGAUAGAAUACAUGUAAGUAGGAAAUAAAAUCCAACUCAAGAAUAGAUUACAAAUGAGUUCAAUCCAUUUACAGAAAAAGGGUAUAUAGAAUAUAUUUGUCUGAAGAAUCCCCUGUCUGGAAGUUCUUUGAAUGGGGCUGUGAUGGCAUUUAGAAAGCACAAGCACUAGGGGUCUUGUCUUUCACUAGCAGAAACAUAUUUAUUGUUGAAGAUUUUUUGUGUUAGGUUUAGAUAACUUUAUUUGGAUUUAAUCCACUAAAUUGGUGGGUAUCAUCUCUUAUAGAUGAUACUUUAGCUUCCAAGUCUACCAUUCUCUCAUUUAUUUGGAUGUGUUUUGUAGGGUAGAUAUGGUUGUUUUUCAAAAUGUUUUUUAAUUGAAAAUGCUUUAAAAUAAUUUUUUAAAUAUCAGUUUUUACAUCAACAAUAUAUCAAAAUGAUCUAAAAAUAUUUAUAAAAAAUUAAUUUAAAAUAAAUAAAUAAAAUUUAAAUUUAAAAAAAAAACAAAACACUUACACAAAAACAAAUAGAAUCUUGCUGUGAAUAACAGAAUUUGGUGCUAAAUUUCUUGUUGUGAAUUGCAGAAAACAGUUGCUUGAUCUGCACUAGGAUGGCAAUAGCAAGGUAAUGGAGGAUGUGAGAAAGGUAUAUCCAAGUCGUGCUUCUUUUUUGUAUCUUUCUCCUCAUCCACUAACUCUUGCUUCUUUUUUUCCCGUGAAAAAAUGGAGAGCCGAAAAUAGAUUUGUUAAAAAAUGGAGUUCCUGCAGAUUCCAAUUAAAGAGUUCUGUCUUUCUCCUGUAAUCAUCAAAACAAAUGUUAGGGAUGUGAGAAAUCUUUUGCCAAUCUUCACCCAUCUCCUCCUCCCCGUAACGUUUCUUAAUGGGGCAUCUACUUAUGUCCAGUUCCUGUAGAGGCGCUGCCAAAACAUAGUCUGGUAGUGCUCUCAACAACGGGCAAUUUCAAUAUCAAUCUCGAAGUUGUGGCAUAAUGGAUAUAUUGAAGUUGUGUUGGCAUCUUCUUCUCCCACUCUCCUUCCAAUUCCAUCCCACUCUUCUACUUCUUCGAGAUCCAAAUCAAGUUUUUAAUUUGGGGAAAGCAGUGACCCUUGCAAUUUCUCCUUCAUUAAUACUGGCAUUCUCAUCUUUUUCUAUACCUAAAAAUCCAGCAUCCAACCUUCUCACCUUCAACGACCUCAAACCAGGCUUUCAAGGUUGGGCAAUCUCCCAACGGAGGCAAGACCUCCAGUUCACAAUAACAGAGUUUAAGCUCCUGUAAUCUGGUUAAUGUCAUCAUCCAAUUUGGCAAAUCCAACCCUCCGUACCUAGAUAUGGUUAGAUUUCCAAGUCUGACGGAGGCGUAAAGCUUCAAUUAAAAGCCGUUCUUGCCGGCUCUGUGUCGAAACCAAUAGCAAACAAGCAGGCGCUUCUUAUUCUUGAGUUGUGCUUCUGCAGCGUCACUCGCAUCUUCUACCUCCCCGUAGAUUCCAUAUCUUAAGACUCCCUCCAAUGUGAUUUAAGUUUUUUAAUUCUCUUAGAUUAGCUGCUUUACUUUCAUUCUCACCACCACCACACACAGUAAACACAUCUAAUGUUCGAAGACAUGUUAUCCUCUCUAUUCCCUUUGGUAUGAAGGCCACUCCUGAACCAUAAAUCCGGAGAUGCCUCAAUUUGAUAAGUUUUCCAAUCGCCUUGGCAAUUCCUUGAG
rnacentral:lncRNA from 1 species